GAGAAGGUCGGCAAGUCGCUCACGGCGGCAAACACGCGAAGGAGCGGCGGAUUGGCUUCGACCCGGAUCUCGUCGGCGGUUUUCGGUGAGAACAAGGCGACAGUCGGCUCUGGGAUUUGGUAGGGGACUUGGCGAGGGUCGGGGUGAGUAUUUAAAGGGGCAAACGUGCGGAGCAAGGAGUUCGGGAGGGAGAUUACGCGUGGCCGGUGCGAUCUCACGGCGGAGUCCGGCUCCGUUACGAGGUAGGAGGAAGAUCUGACCGGUGGGCCCCACCUGUCGGUGACUCAGGGCGCGGGACCACUCUGUCAGUGGAAGAAGGGAGGGAGGAAAGGCGCUGGCGCUAGGCUGUUGCGCAGUGGGCCGGAAGCUGGGCCGCGCAGAGAAGAAAGAAGGAGGGGGGGGGGAAAGAGGCCGCGGGGGGAGAGAGAGAGAAUGGGCCGAGCCCGAGACAGGGAGGGAGAAGAAAAACUUUUUUCUUUUUAUUUUUCCAGCUUUUACUCAAAUCCUUUCAAAAGGAUUUUCAAACCCAAUUUGAAUUUAAAGAAGCUCCACUCAAUAAAAUAUAUGCAGCAGCAUGGAUGCACAUACAUGUGUCGAGGCUUUAUAGUGAAUUUUAAUUCAAUAAAAAAAUUAAUUUCUUACUAUUUCCCAGUGCUCACAACAAUUAAUUAAAUCAAUUUGCCUAUUUCGAAAAGUCGAUUUUUUAGGGUGUUGAGCUUAUAGGUGGGACACAAAGUAUACAUACUUACAAGACAUUUAUUGUAUAGUCAAACCAUGGAUCCAAACAAACAAAUCAAUAAGCCAAAUCAAGAUGUGCAUGUGUGGCGAAUGAAUGGUGUAUGGUGAUGAUGGUGAUAACAAUGGUGAAAGUCUAAUUCUACUUUUGCUCUUUUGAGGGGAUACAUACCUUCCUUGCUUUUUAAAAUUUUAUGAGGAGAAUGAGAUGCUCUUCUUUUUCUUUCCUCUCAGGUGGGUAUCUUGUACCCCUAAUUCUAUUGUCGGACACUUGUCCAUUUUUACAUCUCGUCUCACUCUUUUUCUUUUCUUUCGAGGUUCCGGGCACUUGCCCCUUUUUAUUUCCUCGUUUAUUUUUUUUUCUUUUUUUUUCUUUUUUUUUCGGAGCACUCAUCUCUUGAGAUAAUAUAGCAAGUGGUAGUAGCAAGAUAACUUGAGCAUUUAUUUCGCAAGGGAAAACAGAAAUAUUUUUUGGCUAUUCUCUCCCGGAUUAGGAGUAAAAUAUUUUUGGGUGGUUCUGGAGAUGGACAUGGAUGGAUAUAUGUGGAUGGUACUUCCGGAGUAGAAGUAGCAUAUAUGAGUGAACGUGCAAGUGAAUCUUGAUUUAACCACAUGACAAGCUCCUAAGGUCUACACAGCUUGACCACACACAAUGCUCAUAAGCAGUAAAUAAUAAAUGUGUGGCUCAAAGUCUAGCAAGCAUGUAUAUAUGGCUGCGGUAGGAAUUUAAACUCUCGUCUUACAGGAACUCAUCAUGCAAUAUUUUAAAGAUUUUUCAAAGAUAAAAUUCUCCAGAAUUGUAGCAUCUCUAGGAACAAAUAAACAGCAGCUCAACCUUCCCAUAUCAUAUCCGUUAACAACUUAGAUUUCAGAUCAAGUUUUCAUCCCACAAGUUUAGAUCUAGAGCAAGCUUUAAAUUAUAACAGUUAUGUCUAAACUUGAGAGAGAACUUCAAAUUUGCAAAUUAGGCAGAGCAACUAUUCAUCAUAUCCAUGCUAGAGUUUUAUUAUUAAGAUUCAGAUUAGCAUAGCCACUUUAUUUAUUUAUUAAACACAUUAAGCAAAAGAUAUAUAUAUAAGCACAAAAUCUUUAUUUGGUUUUUCAUAGUUUAUGUAUUUUAAUAUACUAAUAUAAUAUAAGUAUAAAGAUAGGUAGAAAUACUUAGCGAGAUAAAUGGGGGUGCUCUCCCCCAAGCUAAAUUUUGACGUAAUUUCUCUUGAUGUAGCUAGCAGGUGGCAGAGGUGUAUUUGAAAGUCAGCAGCAUUCUGACAGCGAUUAGAAUGUCUUCCGUCUGCUAGUCUUUUUAAUUCUUAAAUUCUGUGGAGCUCAAAUAGACAACAAAGCUUGUGGAACUAAUUAAGUGUUAGCAUAAAUAUCUAGCCUUCAUCACGCUGAGCUUCCUCAAUAAAUAUUACUCCCUAUUUUUAUAUUUUUAUUUUAUAAAGUAGAAAAGAAAUAUUUAUUUUAUUUUUAUGCCACCACAGUGAAGGUACUUAUGGGUUUUAUGCCACUCGUAUACUCACAUGGGGCUUAGUAUUUAUUUAACAUUUUUAUUUUCUUUUCAAGAUAGCAUGAUUAACUAAUAAUCAAUUUAAGGAAAGUAAAUAAUUAAAGGGAAAAGGGAAUGCAGAAAGGAUAAAUAUGGAUAUCUACCGAUCUUACCUUUCGGCGAGGGUUCAAUGUUUUAAGUCUUCUUAACAAGACUUCCCACCGUGUGUUGACGGUCCUUAAGUAUCAAAUUUAAUUAUCAAAUAAACAAAGAAAAGGAUCCAAAUGAAAUCAACAUCUAGACUUAGGGUUUUAUCUGACAGAAUUCCAUGAGUUUUGGUGUUUGUCUAUUUCUGCAGGGGGUUAUCAGGAAAUACGGAAGAAAGGCCCACACAUCGGGAUUACAUAAAAAUAUUAACGUGCCGCGCAAUUAUCUUACAUCUAGAAGAUUCCAGAAGCCACGGGAAGGAAGCGGAGGCUGAACGGGGCCAGAGGCAGGGCGCCCGCCCUCCUGCCCUGGACGCCCGCCCUGACUUGGAGCCCAAUCAAGACUCUUUCUCUCGGGAGAUCUCCACCGACCUAAAGGAUCAAGAAUAACCGUUCAAUCUAUGUCGGUUUGAUCCGACGGCCCAGGUUCACUUGAGGGGACUAUAUAACCAGACCCCCUGGCCCCUAGAGGAGGCAACCCCUUCAUCAUUAUUCAUUAUUCAUAGACAGAGCAAAAGCUAGGGUUUAGAGAUGAGAGCUCUCCUCUCUUCUCUAAACAAGAGUAGAUCUAGAUAGUAGCAAGAUGGAGAGCGAGGGAGGAUUGGAGGAGGGGCCGGCCUGUCGGUUCUUCCUCCGAUUGUACUUCGUCAUGAUCGAGCUCUAAUCAAGUUUUCUCAUGGGAUGACUUUGGUAAUCUACUUCAAAUUCAUUAUGCAAUUACUAAUCAUGUAUGUUCUGGUUCACAACUCUUUUGAGUACUUUAAUCUAUAGGACGCUAUAGGUGAGAGUUGUAGUAUAGGUGUAAGCGAGGUGCUUAGAUCUAGAUUACUUGUGGAUAUCCUUGUCUAGCUGGAUCGUGUGGUAGGCCGCGUAGGUGACAGUUACGUUGGUCCUCUGUAGUCCACCUCUCGUUAGCAGGACGGGUAGGGUUUAUCGGCCUAAGGAUAGGCAUCCUUUGUGGUGUACUCAUAUCACGUGGUUCGUCCUAGACAUAGACAUACCCCUUUGAAGUAGAGAAACCAUAGUUAUCCUCUCUAUUCUGCUACUAUCGCCCAUAUACUAGAAUUGCUCUAUUCUCUAUUCCCAUAUUAUCAACUAUUGUUAUCUUAACUUUAAUAUUGUUCUUAUUCAAUUCUACCGUCUUUCCUAUUCACACCUAUCUAUCUAUCUUAGUUAAGCUAGAGCGUAGAUCAGUUCUCCCGUUUCCCUGUGGAUACGAUAAAACCUUUAACCGGGUAAAAGCUUCAACGGUAUCCGUGCGCUUGCAGAUUAUCUGUGUGCGUAUAAAUACCAUAGUACACUCUAGUGCCAUGCUGGGGAUGACAACCUAGUAUUCAAGUGGUGUUAGCAAGUGUCAACACCGUGUUCAUUCUUCAGGUGCGUCAUUUAAUUCAGGUGCGGACCUUGACGUCUGCACCUCUUCGUUUGCCCAGCAGUUCGAAGUGCGGCGUUGGCAGUAUCCUGCUCAGUGUGUUUGUGCUCGUAGAUCCAGGUCCUUCACUUGGUAGAGUCUGAGAGUUAUAAAACUCCUCCGUGUUUUGCUCGAAGUGUACCUGCUCAUAGAGACAAGGCAGAGAUCAAGUGCAUGGGUCCUGUUGGUGGAAAACACCAACAAAACCUAAAGUGUAUUUGUUGUUCUCUAACCCUAAGCAUAGUGAGCAAGACAAAGUUGAUGGAUGAAAAGUUCAUGAGUGUAGCACUUAUAACAUUUGUCAGAUCAGAUCGCUCAACCCUUUGGAAAGAUAAUCUAUCUAUGUAUAUGUCUUUUUCUUUACAUCUCUCAAUGAUUGAAUGUGUAACAUUUUAGCUCAUAUGAUUAGGAGUGUGGGAUCAUGGAGGUAGUACUAAGAACAAGGAUUAAAGGACUAAACAUGUUGAAUCAGUUGGGUUGGUUAAUCUAGAGUUGUAAAUCAUACAUGUUUGUCUCUUUUAUUUAUAUGAACGCUAGAACCAAAGAGAAGCUUAUAAAAGUGAUAGUCAAGUACCUUAAGGUGUUACCUUACUUGAAGAGUGAUGGUGUAGUAUCACCUUCUGGAAGCUUUCCUUUCUUAGUGGUUGUGCAUCGUGUUUGUGGCACCCUCCAUGGAUCAUCUCUCUAUGAUGAAUGAGCUAUGUCCUUCUUGUGCAAAUUGUUAAACUUCAUGUGUCACUCUCUUCGUCUCUGAUGUGAGUUUAUCUCAGGACUUCCCAAAUCGAUAUUGAAAGUUUUUCUUGUACUUGCUUGUCAUUCAUCUGAUCUUCUAGUCCCAAUCCUGGAAAGGUUAGUGACAAGAAUACCCGAAGGAAUAUUUUUACAAUUAUCCUUAUAUGCUCAAUACACAAGGUAAUGUUGCAAAUAAUUAAAAACUCAUGUUACAAUCUGAUCAGUGCUUAUUUUAUGACACCAAGCUUGUCCUUGGGAAACCAUCAAUUUAUGUCGGCGAAGUGGUUUCCCUUCCAACGAUGACCUAAAUCAAGAUCAACUCAACGAGAUAUGCAAUAUUUAUUAUAGACAUAUGCAUCGACAACCGUCCUUUUAAAGUUUUUAUAAAUAGAAAGGAAUAGGGGGUUGGAGAUCUCAAAUGUGGUGAUGUUGGAGAGACCAAUAGAUUGGGAAGAUGUUGCAUAUGAGCAUGGAGUAAACAAAGUGGCUAUGAAAUAAAUUUCAUGCUCAUUAAUGUUAUCUUCGUCUCCAAUCUGAAUGUUCAGAGUUUCUCUUGGAUUGAUCUCACUUAUGUCCUCUUCUAUAGUUGGAUGAAUCCCAAUUUCAAAGGGAGUCAAGAACUCACCAUUUGAAAUUGAGCCAAAGUCAGAAUCCAUUAAGGCUUCUUCCUUAUCCAUCCAUUCUACAAAUUCUAGCCAUUUGGAACUUGUGAUCAGAAAAGGGGAGGUGUUAGAAUUUUCUAUAUGGCUUAGCUCUCCUUCACUUGAUAUGUCAUCCUCGACUUCUUCAUAACAGGAACCAGGACAUUCUCUAAGAGAAACAUUAUUGCAAUGAUUUGAAUUAUCCCUGCUUGAAGGUCUCUUAUGGAGCCAGAAGUCUAAACCAUCAGCAUCUGAAAGAUUUAAGGUCGGAAUUCCUUCCUCCCUUGGAGAAUUUUGGGGUAUUGAUGGUUUAGGAUCGAUAGCUAAAGUUUGGAAUUGAAGUGGUGGUGAUCUGGCUAUCAAAACUUCUUCUUCUUGUCUAGGAACUGGUUCUGUCUCUUUCUCAGUGAUAUAAAAGCUAGGAGACUUUCCACUUAAUAAAUCAAACAAAUUCCAAGCUUCACUAGUAGGUAGGUGAUAGAAGGAUCCUCUAGAGGCUGUAUUCAAGGUUUGCUUGUUUUCCCCACUAAGGCCCUCAAAAAAGUGAAUUAGAAGAACUUCUUCUAGAAUAGAAAGCUUUGGGUCAGUGAGAGUAAGGUUAAUAAAGCGGUCCCAUGAUUUCCUAAGAGAUUCUUCUUCCAGUUGUCUAAAAGAAAUAAUCUCACGCCAAAGUUCUGCCACUUUGGAGAUUGGAAAAUAUCUAGAAAGAAAACUACUAUAUAACUCCUUCCAAUCUCCAUGAACACUCCCUAUUUUGAGUUUGUACCAAUGUCUAGCUUUUCCCGUUAAAGAGAACGGAAAGAGCUUCCAUUUAAGGGUCUCAUCGGACAUUCCUUCUAUGCGAAGGAGGUCACAGACUCGAUAAAACUCUCUUAGGUGUGUGUAUGGGUUUUUCUCACCUUCUCCUGAGAAAGGUUGUUUUUGAACAAAUUCUAUGUAUUCGCGGUCUAUCUCAAAACUAGAUGCUAUGAUAGGCUUUGAAGAUUUUGGUGGCUCGAGAUGUGUGCCCGUAGGUCUAUGAAAUUCAUAGAUAGACAUGUUUGAAUUCAUGAUAGACCAGAGAUCAAGGAUUAGAUAAGAAGAAAGAUUAGCAGAGAUGAGGCAAAGGAUAAAAGGAAAAUAUAUAUAUUUUUUAUUUUUUUAGAAAAUGAUUAAGCUAGUUCAUAGCCAACUCAGCAACGUUUCCCCGGCAACGGCGCCAACAAUGCUUGUUGACACUUGCUAACACCACUUGAAUACUAGGUUGUCAUCCCCAGCAUGGCACUAGAGUGUACUAUGGUAUUUAUACGCACACAGAUAAUCCGCAAGCGUACGGAUACCGUUAUAGCUUUUACCUGGUUAAAGGUUUUAUCGUAUCCACAGGGAAACGGGAGAACUGAUCUACGCUCUAACUUAACCAAGAUAGAUAGAUAGGUGUAAAUAGGAAAGAUGGUAGAAUCGAGUAAGAACAAUAUUAAAGGUAAGAUAACAGUAAGUGAUAAUAUGGGAAUAGAGAGUAGAGCAAUCUAGUAUAUGGGCGAUGGUAGCAGAAUAGAGAGGAUAACUAUGGUUUCUCUACUUCAAAGGGGUAUGUCUAUGUCUGGGACGAACCACAUGAUAAGAGUACACCACAGAGGAUGCUUAUCCUUAGGCCGAUAAACUCUACCCGUUUUGCUAACGAGAGGUGGACUACAGAGGACCAACGUAACUGUCACCUACGCGGCCUACCACACGAUCCGGCUAGACAGGGGAUAUCCACAAGUAAUCUAGGUCUAAGCACCACGCUUACACCUAUACUACAACUCUAACCUAUAGUGUCCUAUAGAUUAAAGUACUCAAAAGAGUUGUGAACCAGAACAUACAUAAUUAGUAACUGCAUAAUGAAUUAGAAGUAGAUUACCAGAGUCAUCCCAUGAGCAAGCUUGAUUAGAGCUUGAUCAUGAUGAAGUACAACCGGAGGAAGAACCGACAGGCCGGCCCUUCCUCCAAUCCUCCCUCGCUCUCCAUCUUGCUACUAUCUAGAUCUACUCUAGUUAAGAGAAGAGAGGAGAGCUCUCAUCUCCAAACCCUAGCUUUUGCUCUGUCUAUGAAUAAUGAAUAAUGAUCAAGGGGUGCCUCCUCCAGGGGCCAGGGGGUCUGGUAUUAUAGUCCCCUCAAGUGAACCUGGGCCAUUGGAUCAAACCGACAUUGAUUGGACGGUUAUCCUUGAUCCUUUAGUUCGGUGGAGAUCUCCCCCGAAACAGAGUCCUGAUUGGGCUCCAACAGAGGGCGGGCGCCCAGGAAAGGACGGCGGGCGCCCUGCCUCUGGCCCCGUUUCGCCUCCGCUUCGGACUCGUAGCUUCUGGAGUCUUCUAGAUGUAAGAUAAUUGCGCGGCACGUUAAUAUCUUUAUGUAAUCCCGACGUGUGGGCCUUUCUUCCGUAUUUUCGGAUAACCCCCUGUAGAAAUAGACAAACACCAAAACUCAUGGAAUUCUGUCAGAUAAAACCCUAAGUCUAGAUGUUGAUUUCAUUUGGAUCCUUUUCUUUGUUUAUUUGAUAAUUAAAUUUGAGACUUAAGGACCGUCAACAGUGCCCCUGAAUCCCGCUCCUAUGUGCCGUCCUGGACUGGUUUAUCUGUUGCACGCUUGUACGUCGUGGUAACAGCAACAUCGGAGUGGUUGAGGUGCUGUCAUUCGUCACCCGACCCUUUCCCCAGGAAGGAAACUCGCCUACUCGAGAGUCAGGUGCCGUGUAACGCCUCGCUGGCCAGAGCGCUGACCUUGGGCGUCUCGAGGGGGGUCUCGAUUGGACGUUCCGACCCACUCCCCGCGCCCUGCCACGUUUUGGUUUGUUUGGUGGGGAAGGCUGCAAAGAGAACGACAGGACGGGUGCUUGUUCCCUAUCACGCUUCCCGUGACUGACGGGUUAGGUGAGAAUGCGGCAGGCGCAUUAAAUGCCCUGGUUCCCGUGCCCGCGUCAGGCGGCGGGCGGCGUCCUUGCGCUCGAGGCCUUCUGAUUCGUACGAGCCUAUUUCCGUAUUCGACGGUAGACGGCGCUCGAGCCCUGGUCGAUUCGCAGGACGCUCUUUCCGUGUUCGAGGCUACGGUCAUCGUGGACCGUGCAUACAACUAGGGAGGGCGUCGACUCGGAGGCCUCGACUUUCGUAUGGAUGCUCGCUAUGUACAUCAGUUCGGGUACCCCUUACUGAUAUCCUCGACACAUAGUGGUCUUCAAUCUAGACAGGGACAUUUUUGGCUAUCCCAUCCACGAAGCGGAAGGACUGGUCCGCCAACUACAGCUGCACAUUGGUAGGGUCCAUAGGCAUAUAUAGUACCAUAUAGAACUUUAUAUGUUACCUUUGCCAUUAUGUUGACGCCCGAUCCGGUGUCACAGAUAGUGUUGUAGAAGUAACAUCUGUUGAUGCAGCAUAGAAUGGCUGAGACACCUGGAUCGUCCUUCUUGAUCAGAUGUGGGGACUUGAGCAGGUGGUCAUACUCCAUGCGGAUUGCAGUGACCAUCUAUGUUGUCUUAGUCUUUUGGGCCCUCUGUAUGCCCUUGUUCUUGGUCUUGGCCUUGUUCUGCAUGUUACUCUUGUUCCUACCGCUGAUAGUUUCUUUCUGAGCAGGGAAUGAUAAUGUCCUAUAUGUGAAAGAAAAGGCUUCCCUAUUGCCCUUAAUGUUGAAAGUAAUCUUGGCAUUGCUGGCGUAGAAGAUAGCUCCGAUAGUGUUCAAGAAUGGUCAUCCCAGAAUGAUAGGCGACCUCUCAUCGGUACCAGCGUUCACCACUGUGAAGUCUACAGGUACGUACAAGUUGCCUACUCGCACGCAGAUCUCCUCCAUAAUUCCCAUGGGGUAGCAAAGUGACUGAUCUGCAUGCUACAAACACAUGGUUGUUUGUGAUAAAGGAUAAUUGAAAAGUUUUUCAUAUAUCACCUUAGGCACGAUGUUGAUGCUCGCACUGUAGUCAUAGAUUGCCUCGUCAAAGUUUGCACUUUCAACGGAGAUUAAAAUAACCGGUCUCCUUGGAUCACCCUUCUUGUUUGGUAGAGACGAGUCUAACCAUGUUCCUUUUAGAGGGUCACUCCAGUAGCUUCCUGCAUUAAAGAUGUCUACAAGAUUUGCAGUUUCUAAUUCUCUUGGUUGUCCAAAAAUCUUACCUUGAUCAUUGGUGGCAUCAAAUGGAGCAAGCUAUUGUAACUGAGAUUCUAGCAUCUUAUUAAAGCUAAGCUGAUCCCUAAUAUCAUUAGAAAAGCUUUCCAUUCUAAUGUUAAUUGAUUCUAAGGUUUUGUCAUUAAAUGCUAGCUUCUCUCUUAAAGGUGGUUAAGCACUAACUCUUUUAAAGGUGGUUGAUUAGUAUUAUUGUAAGAAUUAUUACCUUGAUAAUUACCUGAGUAGUUACCUGAGCAGUUAGACCGCUGCUGCUGGCUCCAGCCUUAAUUUGGCUAAGGACGAUAGUAGUAGUAGUUGUUGUUGUUGAUAUAGUUCACGUCCUCCCUCAGCUCUGGGCAAUUGGAACUUGUAUGCCCAGUUUCUCCACUCUUCACAAGUCACGCCAAAAUCAUGAAUGUGCAUGACUUCCUUCUUUUCAAUGGUUCUCUCAUCAAGUCUUUUCAUCAGUGUUGAUGCAAAACUGAUCUGCAAACACAAAGGGCUAAUACCCGAUUCAAACGUUAAGGCGUGCCAGCCGAUUUGACCUUGCUAUCGGCAAAGGUGAUAACUCGAAUACUUUAGUCCUGACAACAGCGAUGCGCCCAGAUGUCACGGCUAAGAGGUACUCACGCGGAACUCGAGAACACGCCGAGCUUAAGUCGACGAAUUCCUAAGAACUCGUAAUAAAAGGAAAAAAGUAUGACGAAGUCGUCGAAAAGUAGAUGCUGGAAUAUGAGUAAAAACGUGUGUUUGAUUGAUUUCUUGAUUCUCUGAUUACAAGGUCCUAGGGUUUAUAUUUAUACCCUGCUCAAAGAGCUACGACCAGACACGAUUAGAAUUCGAAUUCCAAAUUACACGGAAUCCGUAUACAAAACGAUGCAAAUAACUAAGGAAAUAAUAAAACUAUCCUUCGUGACAAACCGAAACUCCUCCACAUGACAACUGGCAGCUUCCGGACUCCUCCUUCGCGUCAUCGGCAAUCCCCUUACCAUAGUCAUCGGCAGACCUUUUUACCCAGUCAUCGGCACCAUAUUACUGCCUGUGGACUUAGUCACAUUCAACCCCUCCCUCAUCGGCAACCAUCCUCAUCAACAACCCGCAUCGUACUGCCACCCUAUCCUGCCAUCCUGGACACGUGCCCAAAAAUGGUGUCAACACAUGCCCCCCAGUUUCGGAGUAUAAAACUAUUAAUGCUCCGAAAUUCUCUGCAGUAAUGAUGCCUUCUCCGCAAUUAAUGCUCCUAAUCUGGUAACCGACAACCUCAAUCUGGACAACUCUGAUCCUAAUCCUCCGCAGAUUCCUCGAAAUCCCCAACUUCCUAAACGGGCAUCUUUCUUGGUCGUACAUCGGCAACAAUACCGUUACAAAGAUCUGCCGAUGCUCUGACCAGGAUAUUCGCAAAAACGGUUACCUCCCCUCUAUCCGCCCAUCGGCAAGAUGACCGUUAUAGAAUAUCGCCGAUGGACCGACCAGGAGAUCGCGCACAGUAAAAUAUCUCUAGAUAAUGACCGCUUCCUGUCAAAUCACCUGCACAAUCCCUGGAUUAUCGUGCGAACAGUUACCAUAUCCACCUGAGUACCCUCGGGCUUCUCGGAUGCGGCAAAGAGAUAAGUCGGAUUUGCCCUUGCCCAUCUUGUCCUAUAAAUAGUUCCUUCUUGGGUACUCCUCCCCCAUUACACCAUUCUACUAUCCGACUUUGCUUUUCCAGCGGCGGCGCCAUUUACAACCCUCAAGAUCUCCGACAAGCACUCCUCUUCAUCAACUCCGGUGCCCUCCAACGUCCUCUUCACGACAAGAUGGCCAUUGGCUUCAUCGUCCCUGAGGUCAGACUUCCAUCUCAUCUCUUGUACCUUUUUCUCGCAUUCCUGUUCAUCUGCGAUUCAUCUUACCGAAUAUCUUCCUUUUUCUUUGCAUUUUUAUUCCCCAAAACACUAGGAGUUGUCCAACAAAAUUGUCAUCCCUACCGAUCAACCACACCUUCAGUGCCUCGGCCCUCUAGGGGAUCCAGAUCCAACCGACCUUAUCAAUGCAGAAACCAACAGGAUUCCCUUUAGAGCCGAAAACUUUUCUUUAGAUCUGUGGAAAGACACCUUUCGCUCUUGGCCCAGCCCUACUGUAGGGUGGAAAGAUUGGUUCUUGAGGGUCAGCAAUUCUUAUGAAGUCCAGUGGGGUGAGAGGAAACUAGCUCAAUGCAUUAGGCUAUCCAUUGCCGAUAUGCACAGGAACGAGUCGCUGCUGAUAGCUGCAUCCUACUUUUGGUCAGACACUCUCAAUGCUUUCGUUUUUGGCCACGGCCCUGCCUCUCCUACCCUUGCCGAUGUAGCCAUGCUUACUGGGCUAGAUAUAUCUUCUGCCGAUAGCACCCAGUGCCAAAGUGGAGACUCGCGCUAUCGGCGGUUGGUCAGGGUACAUCCAGAAGUACCGCGGGAGAGGGCCUGUCACCAUAAAGGAGCAAACCACCUUUCUGAAUAUGUGGCUGGACAAGUUUGUAUUCUGUGGUCGAUCGGCAGGACCAACUUCCGUCUAUCUAUCGGCAGCAGAAAGACUGGCUAGCGGUGGCCAAUUUCCUCUCGGCCGAUAUUUGCUCAGCGCUGUUUACCACCUUCUUCAUCAGGUAGCCCAGAAACUCCUGCUUGGCCAAUCCAUCGGCAACUUGGGAGGCCCCUGGUGGUUUAUUAAUAUGUGGCUCAAUCUGCACCUGCAUAAGCGCCUUGAUUUCACCUUGUUCUCACAGCACUUCCCAAGAGAUAUAGCCGAAAAUCAUGUGUUGGGUGAAGUGGAAUCGGCAACGCGUGCCCCCUUGAACUUUGGCGAAGCCGUUAUAGUCCUACCCGGUUCAGGGAACAAUCCGGAUCAGAUCGGCCGAUUCUUUGAGACUCUGUAUGAGGGUUUGGCCAGAGAUGAACGACCAUGGCUGGCUUAUGACGACCCAGAUAGCAUGCUCCCUCUGACCUUCAAUCCAUUUGAUGAAGCUCUCGACAGGGACAAUGAGGUGAUGAUGGCAAUUGUGACUCCCAGAGCCAUACCAGUGAAUUUCUUCGGUAGCACAAAAACCUCUCCCGAAACCUAUGAAUUUUAUAAUCCAUCGGCAUUAGCUCACCAGCUAGCUUUCGGCCAAUUGCCGAUUGCACUUCCUUAUGCCGAUGUAAUAAAGCCCAGAGAACCCAUCGCCAACCUUCUCGAGUGGACUCGAGUAGCCCAGCUACCACCAAAUGCCGAUACAGAUGUAGAUCUGUCAGAAUGGGUUCCAGCUGCCUUUAUCACUCAGGCAUACAAGCUAUGGUGGGCAGAAUGGAAAGAGAAUCUAUUCUGCAGAUCGGCCCUCUCAUACCGCGGCAUGAUCGACCCCGAAUACGAAGUCCCUGAUGACACUGUAAGUAUUUUAAACCGAUGUCUCAUUUUCCAAUACUAUUCCCAUCGGUAACUUACCCCUAUAUUCCUUUUGCAGAUUGACAACACCCCCCAUCGGUUAGCAGGAGUGGCAAGCCGAUCGACUUGUUCCCAUCAGGCCCGAUCUCCUCAAUCGGCCAUAAUGCUCCCACUCUGGCUUCCAUCGUGCACCGGGGUGCGCGCCUCAAGAAAGUUACCACCAGGAAGACUCAGACAUUGCCAACGGUAGCUGCUUCCACUCUGGCGCAAGCUUUCAGGGCAAUUUGUCAAACCCUUUUCAUUUAUGCUAACUAUCUUUGUAUCGGCUAUCUAUGCUCAUAAACUCCUUUUUGUUGUUGCAGCAAACUGGUGCAUCGGCAAAAGCCAAACGCCAAGGUACCGAUGCCCCCCAGUCUAGCCAGCCAAAGAGGAAGGGCACCCAAGGUGCUAAGGCUGGAACAAAGCGCCAGAAAGUGGCAACUCCUCCUCCUCCUCCGGUGUCUCCAAUCCCGGUGGAAUCUUCCCCUUCUUCUCCAGAAGUCCAGACACAGCAAGCACCAUCUCCCCAACCAAUACAGGAAGCACCACAGAUGGAAGAACCCCAGCAGGAAGAACCUCAAACGGAAGGUACAUCAGCUGACGUAGGUGAACAAACAACUGGCCCAGCAGGUCCAGUUAUAUCAUCGGCGGUUUCCCCGAUUCAGACAACUGUUGUUCCUCCUCCGGGUAACAUAUCUCAACAAUACUUCCGCCGAUAAACUUGUUCUCAUUUAGUCUCAUAACCCUUCCUGUCUUCUUUCAGGCGAUAUCGUUCCAUCGGCAACAUUUGCCGAUCAACCUGUAGCUCCAUCGGCAUCUUUGAGUCAAAGGCAAGAAAUCGCCUUGAAGCAAGUAUGUCAUCCAAUUUUCCACCAGUAUCGUCUGCCGAAGUUUUGACCAUAAAAAUGACUUAUUUCAUCUUCAUUUUCAGGAACAAGAUUCUCCCGACAGCUUAUUCUCCUUCGCCAUUGAUAUCUUCGAAGAAGAAGGCGAGGAAGCAAGCUCCUCUCGGGCAGUUGGAACUGUAUCGGCAGAAACCAGAGCUAAGCUGGAAGAGCUAUCGGCCAUACUUCAUCAAGACACAACUCAACUGGUCAACGAUUCUGACCCAGCCAAGGCCCUGUUCAAGACCCUUAGAGGCCAAAUUCCUGCCGAUGCUGAAGAAACCCUCUUCCAUGCUGCACACCUAGAAAGCCGCCGGCUACAGUACCAGAGAGCCACUCGACGCUUUGCCGAUAGAGCCGCUCAAAUCCAGCUUUCUGAGGAGAUGAUGAAAGAAAAACUCUUAGCCGAUGAGAAACAUAAGAACAUCGGCACCUUAAAGUCCUCAGGUGAUGCACUGAAGCAGAAAGUAUCUGAUCUAUCGGCAAAAAGAGAAGCUCUACUGGCCGAACUCAAGCAAGUAGAGGAUGCUCUGUCCCAAGCCCAGCAAGAAGAGAGUCAAUUGCCGGAGACCAUCAAGCACCUUGAACAAGAACGAAACGUCCACGGCUGCAAAGCGCUGCAGCUGAAGAGGAAGCUGAAGCCGAUAGAAGGUUCUGCCGAUGAUGAUAUCAAAGAGAUAGAGACAGCCAAUCAUAUUCGGCUGCGCGCCAUAUCAGCAAUCCAAGCGCUGCUGAACAUCUGAAGCUUUCAUCGGCAACACACCUUUGUUUUUCUGUUUUUAGCUUUUAGUCUAGCCGACAAGACUGUUAUCGGCAUCUUUUGAAACAUUAAGUCUGCCCCCAAACAUUUAAAUCCAGCCGAUAGGAGUGUUAUCGGCACUUAAACUUUUAUGCAUCGACCCAUAUGCUGGGGUAGUACUUCUUUAAAUAUUUGCCAUUUAAUGCUCUGGGAAAUUCAACUCCUUCGAGAGUUUCUAGAAUAUAGGCAUUACCAGGAGCCGAGUGUCUUAUCCGAUAAGGACCUUCCCAAUUAGGAGACCACUUCCCAAACUUCGAACUUUUAGUCCCGACUGGCAAAAUCAACUUCCAUACCAAAUCCCCAUCGGCAAACUCCUUAGCCUUUACUUUCUUAUCAUACCAUCUAGCAACUCUCUUCUUAUUUUCUUCUAUACUCAUUAAAGCCUUUAACCGAUGCCCUGCUAAAUCAUCUAACUCAUCGGUCAUCAAAGUGGCAUAAUCAUCGGCAGCCAAUUGAUCUUGAAAAGAUAAUCGCCUAGAUCCAGCCUUAAUCUCCCAAGGCAACACUGCAUCAUGUCCAUACACCAAUUGAUAGGGUGACACCUUGGUUGAUCCAUGACAAGCCAUCCGAUAAGACCAUAGUGCUUCAUUUAACAGUGUAUGCCACCGCCUAGGAUUUUCUUCAAUCUUUCGUUUAAUAAGCUUGAUAAUUCCUUUGUUAGACGCUUCGGCCUGCCCAUUGGCUUGAGCAUAGUAAGGAGAAGAAUUCAACACUUUAAUUCCCAUACCGAUUCGAAUUCAUCGAACUCCCCCGACGUGAACAUGGUGCCCUGAUCGGUAGUAAUCGUUUGGGGAAUCCGAAAUCGGUAAAUAAUAUGCUCCUUCACAAAAUCAAUCAUAUUGGCCGAUGUGACUUUCUUCAAAGGAAUAGCUUCGACCCACUUAGUGAAAUAGUCAGUGGCAACUAGAAUGAACUUAUGCCCUUUGCUAGAUGGUGGAUAAAUCUGGCCGAUCAGAUCGAUGGCCCAUCCCCGUAACGGCCAAGGUUUUAUUAUAGGAUUCAUAGCCGAUGCGGGUGCUCUCUGGAUAUUACCGAACUUUUGACAACCUUGACAUCCCUUGAAAUAUUUAAAACAAUCUUCAAGUAUGGUUGGCCAAAAAUAUCCAUUCCUUCGAAUCAUCCACUUCAUCUUAAAAGCCGACUGAUGCGCUCCACACACUCCUUCAAGGAUUUCCCCCAUCAAACUUCUGGCUUCAUCAUCACCCAAGCAUCGGAGAAGAAUUCCGUUGAUAGUUCGAUAAUACAAUUCAUUUUCAAGGAGCACAUACUUGGUCGCUUGAAAUCGAACCCGUCUUUCAACUUUUUCGGAUGGAUCUUUUAGAUAAUCAAUAAUUUCCUUCCUCCAAUCACCGGCACUGACUGCCGAUGUCGCAUUAAUCAUUGGCUGAUAUCCCGAGGCAUGCUGGGCUAACCGAUUAGCGUCUUCAUUAUGCAAUCGGGGAACAUGCUCCAAUCGGAAGUCCUUGAAUUCCUUUAACAGUUGCAUACUUCUCUCAAAAUAGGUUAUGAGAACUUCACUUCGGCAUUCAUAGUUUCCGGCCAAUUGAUUUAUAACCAACAUAGAAUCCCCGAAUAUUUCAACGGCAUCAGCACGAACUUCUCUUAACAACUCCAAUCCCUUGAUUAGAGCCUGAUAUUCAGCCUGAUUAUUUGUUGAUGUAGCAACAAUCGGCAAGGAGAACUCAUACUUCCUCCCCUUAGGAGAAACUAAUACAAUGCCGAUUCCUGCCCCCCGGUCACAGGUAGAUCCAUCAAAGAAGAGCGUCCAGGGUGCAAUUUCUAAGGUUUCCACUAGACCGCAAUGCUGAGUCACAAAAUCGGCCAUAAUCUGCCCUUUGACUGCCUUAGCCGAUUCGUAACGCAAAUCGAACUCUGACAGCGCUAAAAUCCAUUUACCGAUCCUACCACUCAUAAUCGGCAUAGAUAGCAUGUAUCGGACCACGUCAUCUUUGCAAACAACAGCACAUUCAGCCGACAACAGGUAAUGUCUCAGCUUGAUACAUGAAAAAUAUAAGCAUAAGCACAGUUUCUCAAUGGCCGAAUACCUGGUUUCAGCAUCAAUCAACCUCCUACUCAAAUAAUAAAUUACUCUCUCUUUCCCCUCAAAUUCUUGAACUAAAGCUGAACCGAUAACCGAUCCAUCGGUAGAUAAAUACAAUUUGAAGGGCUUCCCUUGUUGAGGUGGAACUAAAACUGGAGGAUUUACUAGAUACCUUUUGAUUUCAUCCAGAGCCAACUGCUGUUCUUCUCCCCAAACAAACUCUUGAUCGGCUUUCAAUUUAAGAAGAGGACUGAAAGCACGAAUCCUCCCAGAUAAAUUCGAUAUAAAUCUUCUGAUAAAAUUCACCUUGCCGAUCAAGGAUUGGAGCUCGGUUUUAUUGGUAGGGGCCACUAUUUUAUUGAUGGCAUCAAUAGAUCUUCGACUAAUUUCAAUACCCCUCUGAUGUACCAUGAAACCAAGAAACUGCCCUGCCGAUACGCCAAAUGCACACUUGUUGGGGUUCAUCUUCAAUCCAUGCUUCCUUGUGCACUCCAACACUUUUCGUAAAUCGGCAAGAUGCUUUGAGAAAUCUCCAGACUUAAGCACCACAUCAUCAAUAUAAAUUUCUACGAGCUUGCCGAUGAACUCAUGAAAUAUAAAAUUCAUAGCCCUUUGAUAAGUAGCACCAGCAUUCUUUAACCCAAAAGUCAUGACUAUCCAUUCAAAUAGUCCAACAUGACCAGGACAUCUGAAUGCGGUUUUUGAAAUAUCCUCCUCUGCCAUGAAUAUUUGAUUGUAACCCGCAUUACCAUCCAUGAAGCUGAUGACCCGAUGGCCAGCCGCAGCAUCAACCAGUAGAUCGGCGACAGGCAUUGGGUAUCCAUCCAUCGGCGUAGCUUUAUUGAGAUUCCUGAAAUCAAUGCACACCCGAAGCUUCCCGUUCUUCUUGUAAACCGGAACAACAUUGGAAAUCCAUUCGGCAUACCGACACUGCCGAAUAAACUUAGCUUCAAUAAGUUUAGUGAUUUCGGCCUUAAUAUCAGGUAGAAUGUUAGGAUUACAUCGGCGGGCUGGUUGCUGAUGUGGCCGAAAUCCGGACUUGAUGGGUAACCGAUGUUCGACAAUUGAUCGGUCUAAACCAGGCAUCUCUGUAUAAUCCCAAGCAAAGCAAUCUUUAUAUUCCUUUAACAAACUAAUCAAUUGUCGUUUACACUCAGGAUCUAAUUUAGCACUAAUAAAUGUAGGUCUAGGCUUAUCACCACUACCUAUAUCUAUUUCUACCAAAUCAUCGGCCGAUGUGAAUCCAUGGCCCAAUUUUCCAUCAUCGGCGAAUCUAUCCAUUAAAAACCGUCGUCAGAACCGACUGCUUGGAUCGGUGGAAUCUCAUAAUCGGCAACUUUGAGAAAAUCUUUCUCCCAAGCUUCUCCUGAAAUGCACCUGGUCCUUUCGUAAGUAUCCGCUUCCGCCGAUGCGAUAACAUAAGAAGAAUCUCCUGGGACGAUCUCAAUCUUGUCUCCUACCCACUGAACCCAGCACUGAUGCAUUGUAGAUGGGACACAACAAUUGGCAUGAAUCCAAUCUCUCCCCAAUAAUAAAUUGUAGGCACCUUUUCCGCUGAUCACGAAAAAAGUUGUCGGCAAGGUUUUGCUGCCGAUGGUCAACUCUGCACAUAUCGCCCCCUUGACUGGAGACACGUUUCCUUCAAAGUCUUUGAGCAUCAUAUCGGUCCUGGUCAAAUCUUGAUCCCCUUUCCCAAGCUUCCGAUAUACUGCAUACGACAUAAUAUUAAUAGCAGCUCCACCAUCAACUAGGAUCUUGGUCAUUGGCUGCCCAUAUACCCUUCCUUUGAGGAACAAAGCUUUAAGAUGCUGCCUCUCGUCAUCGGCAGGUUUCUCAAAGAUAGUCGUCAUCGGAUCCAGAGCCAACUGAGCUAUCUGAUCAGAAAAUUCCAACUCAUCGUCACUGGCUGGUGCAAGAAACUCCAUCGGCAACAUGAAGACCAUGUUGACGCCUGCCGAUGGACCUUCCCUCUUAGUGUCUGACGGCUGCCGACUUCCAGAGUUCUCUCCCUUGUUUAGCUCCUCUUGCCUUUCUCGUUGCAAUCUCCUUUUCUGUGUCUUGGUUAAUCCCUGAGGGCACCAUGGAGGAAGUGGCCUUUGCCUUGCCGUCGGGCGUCGGUUCUCCCUUGACUCCAUGCGAUGCGUGUUAGCAUCCCUGCAAAAUAUGAAUUCAUCGGGAACCCGCGCAUCAGCCAUUCCUUCAAGCUCCUCUUGGUUCCUGGGAAAAUACUGGACACGGUCACUAAGUCUGUUGUACCCACUGAAUCUGCCCCCCAGCCGGUCAUGAACUGACACCCUUCCUCUGAUCGGCCCAUUAGUUCGCCGUUCAUCAUCAUAAUAACGCCGAUCGUUCCUAUCGUACCGAUCAUAACCGUUGCAUUCAGGGCAGUCUCUGACAGUAGGAAGCUUGAUAUUUUCCUCCCAACAGUGGAUGAAGAAUGGGCAAUUCCAAUGAUCCCUGUGCCGAUUCCACUCCUGUCGGCGUCUUUCUUCUUCCCGUUGAUAAUCUUCCUGCUGGCGUCGAUACCGAUCUUCCCAUUGAUAAUCUUCCUGCUGGCGUCGAUACCGAUCUUCCCGUUGUUGCCAUUUUUCUCGAGGCCUCCUAUGAGUUAUGACGAUACCAGACCGAGGAAGCCUUCCUGAGCUAGUUCCUUCCUGGACCAAGCCCUUACUUCUUGCAUCGGCGGUAGUAACUUGAUGCUGAGGAUCUACCGAUGCACUCUUCUCAGCUGUUUCCGACGUUAAGACCUUAGCCUUCCCCUUAGCGUCCAACAUGUUUGUCGGGAAAGGAUGUUGGUCUAUCUUCAUCGGCUUCUGGGCUUUAGAACUGUCAAACUUGAUUCUCCCUGACUCUAUAGCCGAUUGCAGCUGCUGUCUGAAUACUUUGCACUCGUUGGUGUCAUGUGAAGUUGCAUUAUGCCACUUGCAAUAUCUCAUCCUCUUCAACUCUUCUGCCGACGGGAUCACGUGGUUAGGUGACAGUUUGAUUUGACCUUCCUGAAGUAGAAAGUCAAAUAUCCUAUCGGCCUUGGCGGUGUCAAAGGCAAACUUCUCUGGUUCCUUCUGCCCAAAAGGACAAGACAUCGGCUUCUUGUUUUUCACCCACUCUGCCAAACCGAUUACUGGUUCCUCAUUGGAAUCUGAGCUUGUUGCUUCGUCAACAAAUGACACUUUCUUAUUCCAUGCCCUCUUAGGCUCGAAAGGCUUGAUGUCUUGAUCAGAUAUCCUCUGCACCAAAUGACUUAAACUUUCGAACUCCUGAGAGGCAUACUUAUCCCUGAUAUGUGGCAACAAACCCUGGAAAGCCAAAUCGGCUAGCUGCCGAUCAUCCAGAACCAGGCUAUAGCAUUUAUUCUUGACCUCUCGUAUCCUCUGCACAAAUCCCUCAACCGAGUCAUCAUUACGUUGCCUCAACUUGACCAAGUCAGUGAUCUUCUUCUCAUGAACCCCCGAGAAGAAGUAUCUGUGGAAUUGCUUCUCUAGAUCGGCCCAAGUAAUUACUGAGUUGGGAGGUAAUGAUAUGAACCAAGUAAAGGCCGAUCCAGACAAUGAUGAUGAAAAUAGACGAACCCUCAAUUCGUCCCUGUUACCAGCCUCUCCACAUUGAAUAAUGAACCUGUUGACAUGCUCCAUGGUUGACGUGUCGUCCUGUCCGGAAAACUUUGUAAAAUCCGGUACCUUGUACCGAUGUGGAAGCGGGAUCAAAUCAUACGCUGGAGGAUACGGUGUCCGAUAAGAAUAAGUGUUGACUUUGGGUUUUAUCCCAAAUUGUUCCCUCAUUACUUCAGCAAUCUUAUCGGCCCAAUACGCAUCGGCAUCUUGCCGAUGAGGCGGCUGAGGAUCUGGCACUUGGUGGCGAACCUCCACGUGUCUGUUUGGGACGUGACCUGCAUGGAACAUCGUAUUGGUCACCUGUCCUCCAAUCUGCGGACUACCAAACUGCUGUCCACCGAUUGGCUGUCCUCCGAGUUGCUGCCCAAAAUUUAUUGGCUGGUUGGGAAUCCCCUGACCUUGGAACCCGGGAUAGACCUGCCCUUGCUGGAACCCUGUAGUCUGAUAACCCUGCUGGGGCGAUUGUGGAAAGGCUUGCUGUCCAAGCCAUCCAUUAUUAGCGUUCAUCGGCAUAGGUACUGCCGAUGAUUGGUAAUUGGGUACCGUCGUUGAAUUGACAUACCCCGACUGGGCCAUAGGCCUCUGUUGCAUCAGCAUUGACUCUGCCGAUGCGUUGGGCAUCUGGAACAUUGAAUCUUGAGGAUUUCCAGUGUGAGGCCUUGCAGUAGUAGUUGUGGUAUACCGAGGACUCUGGUUCACCGGCACAUUGGAAGGUGCCGAUGUCAUAGGAGUUUUGCCCCUCAUGUCAGUUAUCUGUGAUGUUCCCGGCGUCAACUCUGGAGGCAUACCAUAACCCCACCAGUUGGGAGGAAGAGUUAACCCUGACAUUGCCGAUGCCAACAUAUCUAUUGUCAGUUUAUGCUGCCCAACUGAAAUUUGUGGGUUGGUUGCCAUCGGCAUAGAUAGUGCACCAGUAGUCCCCAAUGUACUUGGAGGGACGGCAGACUGUGCACUUGCAUUCGUCAAGGCAGCCGAUGGAGCCGUGACCUCUGGUGUCGUUGGCUGAUGAUGGGAGGGCCCCACAUAAUCUGGCGGGAUUUGUCCUUCCUUGAAAGUUCUUGCCACGGCGUUGAAAACCGUAUUAGACAGUACACCAGCUUGGUUAAUCAACGCUCGAUUGAUGGCAUUGUCAACCAUAUCUUGAAGCUUGCCAGGAUUGGCGUCGAAGGUGACCUGCCGUGGUGCCGGCAGUGCAUCUUUCUGGACCACUUCGCCGCUCCUGUUUAUGCUGAAAGACCUCAGGCAUUGCUGCUUGAACUCUUCCAUGGCUUGGGCAAUAGCUUGCUUUUGCUCAACCUUGAGGUUGGCCUCCGUCACGGGGAUGACGUUCUCUUGAUCGAGGUCAGAGAUCGACAUGUUGAUCUUGAUCUUGAAUCUGUCCCACUGGGCGUGCCAAAAGAUGUGUUGAUGCAAAACUGAUCUGCAAACACAAAGGGCUAAUACCCGAUUCAAACGUUAAGGCGUGCCAGCCGAUUUGACCUUGCUAUCGGCAAAGGUGAUAACUCGAAUACUUUAGUCCUGACAACAGCGAUGCGCCCAGAUGUCACGGCUAAGAGGUACUCACGCGGAACUCGAGAACACGCCGAGCUUAAGUCGACGAAUUCCUAAGAACUCGUAAUAAAAGGAAAAAAGUAUGACGAAGUCGUCGAAAAGUAGAUGCUGGAAUAUGAGUAAAAACGUGUGUUUGAUUGAUUUCUUGAUUCUCUGAUUACAAGGUCCUAGGGUUUAUAUUUAUACCCUGCUCAAAGAGCUACGACCAGACACGAUUAGAAUUCGAAUUCCAAAUUACACGGAAUCCGUAUACAAAACGAUGCAAAUAACUAAGGAAAUAAUAAAACUAUCCUUCGUGACAAACCGAAACUCCUCCACAUGACAACUGGCAGCUUCCGGACUCCUCCUUCGCGUCAUCGGCAAUCCCCUUACCAUAGUCAUCGGUAGACCUUUUUACCCAGUCAUCGGCACCAUAUUACUGCCUGUGGACUUAGUCACAUUCAACCUCUCCCUCAUCGGCAACCAUCCUCAUCAACAACCCGCAUCGUACUGCCACCCUAUCCUGCCAUCCUGGACACGUGCCCAAAAAUGGUGUCAACAAUCAGCAAGUCCAUCUUAGUAGCUAGCAUGUCUACCUCCUUGAGUUUGUGCAUUCCUUGACCUCUCUUGCGGGUUUGACUUCUUUCUUCACUCCAACCUUGAUUGGAGGCCAUCUUUUCCAUAAGAGCAGUGGCUUGAGAGAUAGUAAAUGUUAAGAAUGCACCUCCAGUAGCAGCAUCCAUAGUUUCUCGAGUGCUGUUGCUGAGCCCAUGAUAGAAUGUCUACAUGAGCAGCCAAUUCUCCAUCCCAUGAUGAGAACACUCGAGUAUGUAGUCUUGAAAGCACUCCCAAGCUUCUUGGACUGUCUCAUCAUGUUGCUGCUAAAAGAUUGAUAUCUUCCCAUGCAGAGCAUUGGUCUUGUCUGUGGGAAAGAAUUUUGCUAGGAAGUUGGUGGAACAUAAUGCCUAUGUGGUAUUCUUCUCCUUGUUGGCGUAGAACCACUACUUCGCUUUCCCCAAGAGAGAGAUUGGAAAAAAGGCGAAGUAAUAUAGCAUCUGUGGAGACAUCCUAGGUAGUGAAAGUGCUACAGAUCUCCAGGAAGUGUUGGAGAUGAGCACUAGCAUCUUCAUGGGACUUCUUGGAGAACUAGCUUGCUUGCACCAUGUUGAUUAGUUCUGGCUUGAGCUCGAAUGACACAUUAAUGCCCACAGCUGGCCCAGUACGGAUGUUAGUCACAGUGGGAGCUGAGAACUCAUGAAGUGACUUGUCAGCCAUAACACCAAUCUCUAGUGUAAAAGUUUGAGUAGGUUGAUCUUCUGACUCAGGAGGAUUAGGAAGCUGAGAUGUUGAUGAUGUUGAUUGGUUCCUUCUCAACUUAGCCUUUGUCUUCCUGAUCAAAGUCUAUGGAUUAUCAAUGAAGUUAUCUAGGAGAUCAAACAUGUUCAUACAUUACCCUGCAUAUGAUAAAAAUAGACAAAAAGACAAGGGUAAAGCUGCAUUCAUGAGUGAGAUGGGUGGAUGGUGCUCAAUCCAUGAAUUGAUGUAGUGAUGCUCAUUAUCCUUUGAUGCUUUCACCUUCCUCGGCAAUGACGCCAAAAUGCUUGUUGACAAUUCUUAACGCAACUACUAAAAAUAGACUCUUAAACCUAUCCGUAGUAACGAUGACAAAAUUACUUAACAUCACUUAAGCUAGGUUGUCAUCCCUAACAAGAUGUAGAAGUGCUGGUAUUAAAUCUCUAUGGUUUUCUAGGAACAGAUAAAUAAAGGAUCCGCAAGCGCACAGAUAAUAGCGAUGUAGCAUUUUAACCAGGAGUAUUCUAGGUAUAGUUUUUUAUAUUUUUACCACUAGGAAGGGACUUGCAAUGGAUAAUGACCAAUGAGCACUGCAUGUUAGUCAUGGAGACCUUAACCAUGUCUUUAUCUAACUCUAAUGCAGGGUAAGUGUUAGAUAAGAUAAAUAUAUAAAUAUGAAUAAUAAGUGACAAAUGAUAAAUAAGAAUUCAUAGCCACAAGAUAAUCAUGAUAAUCAUCUUAGUUAGAUUACACUAAGUCUAUAGCACUAGCAUGGUAUUAGGACAAUCUACAAGAAUAAAUCCUAAGUAUUCUAACUAUACUGUCAAAGCAAACUUUGAUUAGUGUAAGUACACCUAGCGUCAUAUCUAUGCAUAGUGAUAUUAGCAAGAAAGAUCAUGAACAUAGCAAUCACUUCCCUGUAAUAAUCGUGCUCUACAUCCUUAUAAUCGGGAGAAUGAAUACAACGGACUCAACUGGACUAUCACUCCCACGAUCUACCUCAAGCUUCGAACUAGGGUAAUCACAGAUAAAUACGGUCUAGGCACCACGCCUACACAAUAUUUACCACUUAGCCAUCGAUCUAAUGAGUAAGCGUUAUACGAUUCUAUGCAUAAACAUAAUUCUAAUCUAACUACACAAAGAAUAUAAUCAAAGUAGACUAAUAAUAAUAUAAUUGAGAACAUAAGCAAAUAGAAUAAAGUCAAUUAUGAUAUAAUCAAAUAGAUCAAAGUCAUAUUCAUAGUACCAAGAACUAAUAUAAAUAUAACAAAGAGAAUAGGAGUUUACCAAUAAGGCCAGUCUCAAUGCAUAGUUUCAUGACACAGUUACCAAGACUAUAAACUAGGUAACCGAGAAACAUGAGUUUAAUGGGGAUGAAACUCCACUCUCAUCUGAUGAAACUCCUUCAUUUAAUGACCCUACUAAGUCAGCAAUUUUGCUUAUGUGGCACCAUAUUUAAUGUGCAUGACACUCCCACGAAACAUGCAUUGAGACUGGCCUAACUAAAGAUAGAUUCGGAUUCCAAGAUUGACUUGCCUCCUUCACUUGCCUCCUUCUAGAUAUAUUCCUAUGUUGCUAUGCUAAAGAACUAUAGAGAUCUAAUUGAGAUGGUGGCUAAGAACCCAUAGAGAUAGAUCCAUUUGAGGGACCCCUCUCUGUCUAAUUCUUCUCUUGAUCUUCUCAGAGAAUUCUUAUUAUCUCCGCUCUAGGGGGGUCAGGGUCUUUAUUUUUAGCCCCCUAGGAAGCAACAUAGCCCUUGGAUUAAACCGACUUAAACGUGCACUUAAGAUUAACCCUAAAUGUCGGUGGAGGCAAGAUCUACAAGGUGGAGCGUGAUUGGCUCUACCCUCCAGGUGGCCUCCCCUAACAAGGUGGGGCUCCUACCCCUAUGCAAUGGCAGGUGGGCCCCACCAUUUAGGUGGUGUCUUCUCGAGUCUUAUGGAGUAUUCCUGAGUUGUCGUUUCAUGUAUCCUCUCUAUGUAAAUCUGACAUGUGGACCUCCUUUUGUUCUUAUUCUGAUAACCUCUGUAGAAAUAGACAAUCACCAAAACUUGUGGAAUUUUGUUAGUGAUAACCCCUGUAGCUAGAUAGUAUUCUGAUUUUAGUCCUUUCUCAUGCUAUGCUUACAGUCAAUAAUGACGUCCUAUACAAAGAAGCACACACUAAACAUGUCCCAAAUCUCCUGGUCACUAAUGCCUACAUGACUGUUUUUGAGUUUUGUAGGACUUACCUUAACUUUGCUGACAAGGCAUUUUGGGGCACGCUCCACCCUAUCCGCCUCUUCCACUACAGGAAUCUCCUUGUUACCGGUCCAGUGGUCUCCAUAAUGGUGCCACAUAUAGAUAUUCCGGUCUUAUGGAUGCCCCUUGAUCUCCUCUACCUUGGCAUUGGGGUCCAAGGAAGGGUCCUCAGCGUGAGACCACUUGCCCCUAUGGUUGAAGGAGCCAUCGGUCCUUUUCCUCAAUUAGGGAUCUCUAGUGUAGCCGCUGGCCUCAUAGUUGGAGCCGGUAGGGACUCGUCACCCGAUGCCCCUGCUCACUCGGUCGGCGAAUGAUCUCCUGGCAGAAGCUCAGAAGUCUGCUGGCUCACCUCCAUUAUGCUGGCAGAUGCGCUAGGUUCUUCUAGAGCUGGUUGUUGAGCAACCUACUCUCUAGGUCUAGGCGCUUCCUUACCACCUGCUUGGUCUAGAUUUACAUCAGACGUGGUCCUACCACUUUAUUAAGCAUUAAAAUUAAUUCGUAUAUUAAUGACUUUAGGAGAAGUUCUAGUUUUCAAAUGACUUACAAGUCAGAUGCUUGGUGUGAUGUCAAGAAGACCCUAUGCCUAGCACAUGCUAAAGCCACAUUAGCUCACAACUACUUGGGAGGUUUGUGGUCGUCAACCCUAGUUGAGGUCACGGUGGCGGUCGGCGGCAUCGGUGGCGGUACUCUCGACAAUGCUGCAUCUGCGGGGCACCUCCGCUACCGGUGGACUAGGUCAGUGGUGCUGUUGUCUUUGUUUUCUUCAUCGUCAUCUACUAGCCGCAACACCUGAUAAUGCUUCGCUACUAGGUCCCCUGCUCAGGAUCCAACAAUGUUAGAUGGGCCUUCCACCUGAUCUGGGGCUUCAGCCCUUUUCCUCGACGUGUUGGCUAUGACUGGUCUCUUUCCCACAGCUCGGACAUCUACGGUGGGCGUUCUCUGCUUGCUGUCCUUGUCGCUGCUGGUGCACAUAUAGCACUGUGCUACAAUCUACAUUGGUGGGUCCACACCUCUUAGCUACUCCAUGCUAGGUGUUAAGGAGACAAAAAUCACCGCUCUGUCCAGAUCACCGACCUGCCGAGCACACAUCACGUGUUAGCUAGUUUUUGCAAUUAGUAUUGAAUAAUAAGGUCAAGUUGUAUACAGUUACCUUCGGCGGUGGUCAGUAUAGCUUGUACGCGUGCAUGAGGUCACUACUUGGAGCAUAGCUUAUGUCAGAAAGAUUGAAGAGCUCGUUGAUCCAAAGAUGGACCUCUAGCCUCUCGAGUCUCUCCAUCUUCAUCUAGGUUAUAUCAGCAUUCCCUUGGUACUCGUACUAGGAAUGGACGCUCCUCUGGCAUGACUAUAUUCUUUGGCUGAUGAAGCUCCCGACUGCUGCUAGUCCAUCAAGAUGAGGCCACUAGAUCAGGUUCAUCAGCUCCUCGAUCUGCCCAUUGUACUCUAGUCUAUCAGUCCAGCUAUCUCUCUUCUCCGGCUGAUACCUGACAUCACUAAGGUGGCACUAUUCGGCUCUUUAUAGAUGUAGAACCAUUUCUUAUACCACUCCAACAAGGAAGUGUUCUAGGAGCAGCUAAGAUAAUGGGUCUUCAUUCCAUCUCUAAGGUUGAGGUAUACUCCACCUGCAAUCUUGGAUCUCCCGUGGGCCCCCUUCUUCCUUAGAUGGAAAAGGUAACAUAAAAGGUCAAAGUAUGGUUCUAUCCCUGCGAAAGCCUCAUAGAGAUGAAUGAAGGUGGCAAUAAGAACGAUCAAGUUAGGAUGCAGGUUGUAGAUCCAAAACUCAUAAUACAACAGCAAACCUGAAGAAAUGGAUGAACCGAGGCCCUAAAACCCCUUUUAAAGAAAUCUUCGAACACAACAAUCUCACCGGGUCUCAGGUCGGGGAAGCUUUCUCCUAUGGGCACCCUCUAGGUUCCGAGUUCUUGAUUCUAUAUCAUUCCCAUUUUGACGAGCUUGUUAAUGGAUUGUGUGGAGGAUUUGGAUUUCUACCACUCCUUGGCCAUCAUCUCUGAUCUCUUCUUUGGGUUGCCUCUGGCCGUUUAGGUUGGUGCGUUGGUUGUUUAAAUCUCGCACGUAUGGCUAAUGACCUGAGAUAGAAGAUGAUGUGUUGGGCGAGGAAUGGCAACUCCCUUUAUGAAGAUUGACCACUGCCCUCUGUGUGCUUAUUUAUUAUGCAGGUGCUACCUCUCCCACUCCCUAAAAAUCUAGAGGAACAUGCACCAUUAAUGCCAAUAAAGCUGUUUCAGUUCCCAAUAUUUUUUCGAUAAAUCUGCAGGUGGUUCCCCCCUUCAAUGGCUUGGUGGGCCCAGUUUAUUUUGGUUCUUGUGCAGGACAGCCCACUGUGUGUUUGUAGGCUUGCCUUUUUAUGCUACUAGCAGGUUGUGCAGUCUAACACGUUUAAACAAGAAGGACUACUAUUUGAAGUUGCAAUAAAGUGACGUCAUUGAUAUACUGACAAAAUAAUGAAUUAUUUUGCUCCAAGGCAUAGGAGGAGUUUCUGUGCUCGUGGACUGCUCCAACCACUGAGCAUGUCUACAUUCCCAACCACGCACGGGGACUCGUCGACCAGUUCCAACGCGAUGCUCGGGGAUUAUGGUGACCAUCGAGUAUGUUUACAUUUCCAACCAUGCACGAGGCCACGUUGACCAGUCCCUACGUUGUGCUUGGGGACUGUGCUAAUCAUUGAGCAUGUUUACAUUCCCAACCAUGCUUGGGGACUCAUCAACUAGUCCCUAUGUUGUGCUCGAGGACUAUUCUAAACACCAAGCACGAUUACUAUCCUAACCAUGCUUGGGGACUCAUAAACUAGUCCCGACGCUAUGCUCGAGGCUUGCUCCGAUCACUUUUUGAUCAUAACUUGGGGACUGCUCUUCUCACAUACAUAUGAAUUAGACUCAUAUACAACUAAGGAGCAAUUUUAGGCCUUGCUAUAAGGCUCGUAUUUCGCCUUCCAGCAAGCUCCGGAACUACAUCGGUACGAUGCAUCUAGUGAUGCAUCUCUUUAUCGGAAUUUGUAUGCAGACAUUUUCUUUUUUAGACCCUGGCACCAUGUGUCUAUGUCACCUACUACCAGGAUCAAGGACUAAGUGAGCACACUUCAGCUUAUGAUGAAUAUGCUAUUUUUUUUAAACCAUAUACUUUUUAGAAAAGUAAUAUAGGCACACUUCAUGAGGAAAGAAAUCUUUUUUCUCAAGAGCACCAUGCAUUAUUCGGACAACCUGCUUCUUCGGUGUCAGCGGCGGUCGAUUGUCGUCCACACUGGUUGAAGAAGCUCAAGAUGGCAUGUUACGUCAUAAUACACAGUGCUUGCAGACUAGCUGUGGGGGUAUAAAUCCAUAUACCCUUAUGGCUAGGUAUGGGCUAAAAGGAUUGGCCCAUUACAAGAUGAUUCCUGGCUUGAUCAAUCUGCUUCGAGUUCCAUGCGAGAAAGGUAGACAUGAAGAUCAAGCAAGAUCCUAGUUAGUUAGAAUAGGAAUUGAUAUCUGUUGAUAUUUGGUAACGAAAUCAGAAUUAAUCCGCCAGCGCACGGAUAUCGGUGAGCACUUCACCCGGGAUGUUAUGCAGAGUAUCGUAUUUAUAUUUUUACCACUAGGAGAAAGCGUUCAUCUGACUAGCCCGGUCUAUUACUACUAACUUUUAGGCUACAAACUAUGUGAUUCGAUGUGAGUUAUGUAUAGAGAAGACUACAACCGCACUGUCGUUCUAACCUUGGUAAGGAUGAUCUAUUGUUCUAUUGGGGAGGCUCACGGAAUCUAGACACCAUAGAGGAUGUUCGACCCGUACCUAUAAACCCUAUCGAUCCUACUAACGGGAUAUGGGCUACAAAGGUAACUCGGAAAUGUCACAUUCCUCGCUACUACCAUGGUCCAGCUAGUCAGGGGAUAUCUAUGAGUAUCCUGGCCCAAACACCACAUUUACGCUAGAGAUGAUUACUCUAAACUCUACGCGAAGAGAUCAAAGUAAACGCAUAAACCAAAGAACAAUAAAACAAAGAACUUACUAGAAUUUAGAAGUCGAAAUACUGAAGAAUCCUAGGAGCAAGCCUUGGGUUAGAAGACUUGAUCCUGCACGUACAACCUCGGAGUAGACACCGACAGGACGGGCUUCCUCUGAUCUACACCUCCACUCUAUCUCUCUCAAUCUAGUAGAACUAGUCUACUCUCACAUUAGAUGCUACGCCCUAUGAGGUGGGAACCCUAAGGAACCUCUCUCUCUGAAUCCUCUCUAGAAAAUAUGCUAAUGAAUAAUUGGAUUCUAUCUCUCCAGGGGCCAGGGGCCUUGCUUAUAUAGCCUUUUCAAAUGAAUCUGGGCCGUCGGAUCAAACCGACAUUGAUCGAACGGUUCUCCUUGAUCCUCAAAGGCAUGGAGCAUAAUCCGCGUGAUUCACCCUGAUUGGCCACCAGAGGUGGGCGAGCGCCUAAGGGGGGAGGGCAGGCGCCCUGCCCCCGGGCCCGGUCGACCUCCCGUUCAUUCUCGUGGCUUCUAGACUCUUCUAGAUGUUGAAUAAUUGUAGUCCACGUUAAUAUCUCUAUGUAAACCCUACGUGUGGGCCUUCCACAUUUCUUGAUAACCCCCUGCAGAAAUAGAUAAACAACAAAACUCGUGGAAUUCUGUCAGAUCAAACCCUAAUUCUAGGUGUUGUUUGUAUAUUGGUCCUUUUCCAUGUUUAUUUGAUAAUUAAAAUUGAUACUUAAGAACCGUCAACAAAUACCCCCAUACUUAGGCUUUUACUCGUCCUCGAGAAAAGGAUGGUUAAAAAAAUAUCUAGGGUUAAAUCAUUGUAAGCAUUCUCUUCAUAUCUACAGAGUGUUGUAAAAAUCCACUGUGUACCGUAGUCAGAGAAAUAUAUGGUCAAGAGUAGAGGUCCUUUCUUCUUAAUCCUGUCACUUGGAGUUUUUGUAUACUUUUGAAAAGAAAUUUAGCAUACCUUUUGAUGAGACCAUACCAAGGCAAUCAACAUUCAAGCAUCCACUCCAGGUGAAAGCUAAAUUUAAUUCCAAAUCAUUUAGGUUUCCACAUACAAGGCUACUACUUGGUUUAUAUGAUUAUAGAUUCAAGCACCUUGCUAUCAUGGAACAAGAAGAUUGCGAUGUUAUCACAACAUUACAAAUGGAUGGCCUAGAACAACUCUUUGGAUCAGAAGAGUUAGAGUCGAGGACGACUCCUUUUGAAGAGGGGGAGGAUGAUAUGACCAUGCCAGCAAGCAAGAUGUCACAAGCUCCAAGUCAAGCUACAACCACUCAUGUUUUACCUACACCGACACCAGCCCAAGUCAUCGAUGGACUGGUUACACGUAGUCGUGCAAAGAAGCAACAACAAGAGGUCCACGCGCUACUUUGUGAGAUUUAUUUUAAGAUUAAUGAGAAUUAUAUACUACCUAAGUGUUCUUCCUUGAUUGUACUCAGGUAUAUAGAAGAAGAGAAGGAUGAAUCAGACCGUGAAGAACGAACCAGUGCAAGUUCCAAAAGACACUACAAAAGGGACCAGAUAGUCAAAAAUGGACCAGUGGUAGUCAAGAACGGACCAAUGCAAAGAAAUCUUCAUAACUUUUUAAUCACAAAACCUAUGAAUGUCCAUGAGGACUUGUUGGAAAGCUUGUCGAGUCUAUUUUCUAUUGAAUCUAGUGGCGACUAGUUUGGAUACUCCAUAUUGUCUGCAAACCAGAAUUAGUACAGACUACUUAGAAGGUCAAUAGUCUGUCAUGAUAGAAUGUUGGUACAACUUGCCGUACAAAAUUGUACCAAUCAACAAUGUUUCGUGGUGCAUGGCAUAUAUUGCUGGAAAGCUCUGGAGUCUAGUUUCACAUCCAAGAAACGGUUCGUCAUUUGGACUUCCCAAUAAAAAGUUAUGGUCAGUUUAUUGGAAAGUGCUCUGGAGGCCAACAGUCACGCGAAGCCAGUUCGGGAAUCAAUUCCGAGGGGACCUUUCACAUUGCCUUCCCUCAGAAACUCUAUUUUGUAUUCAUACCUAUCUAGGAGGUUGUUCCUAGUAUAAAUAUCCCCUACCACUAAGCUAUGAGCAACCUUUGAUCAUUUUGAUAAACUACAUGAUAUUGCAGCCGCGCUGCUGAGUGCCUUACUCAACCUUUGUUCUUCCUUGUUCUUCAUGGACUUGUGAAGUGAAUCCUCUGGGUUCCCCUACUUCGUGCUCUACGGCUUCCGUUCGGCUGCGCCGUAUUGUGUGAAUUAGUUCCGGAUUGUGGUUCUGCGAUCGUUUGGAGAUCGAGUCGAAGUCUUCGUGGUUUCGGUGCCUCUCUCCCCGUCGCUUGGUCGCAUCCAACCUUUGUCAGGUAUAAAGCUAGUUACCCGCUGUUCGCAGCAAGUUAUCCUUGUUCUUUUGAUAUACUGUCGUGAAGAUCGGGCCACCUUCAUACCGAUUUCAUAUCGGUAGCCUAUCAACUGGUAUCAAAGCUUUCGUUGUCACGAUAGGUCUCACAAUCAUCCACAUAUCUACAUUUAGUUUAUCUAUAGUUUGUAACUGUUUUGUUCAUCACCUAUAGUCCACUGAAAAUGCCACAAAAAAAUCCUAUAGACCUUUGUCGGUGCUGUUAUCUUGUGUUUUUGUGUUCAUCAAGUUGCUAGUCACCAUCUUUACAUAUUUUGUAUCGUGUUUCAUUUGUAUCCGCACCCCUGUUAGUAUAAAAAAAGAGUUAAAAAAUCAGAGAAAAAAAGUUCAGAGAGAAAAAAAAUAGAGAUAGAAAGUUCGAAAAGAAAAGUAAAAGAAGAGGACAGGGGUUGUAUUGCGGUUUGCUCACUGAAAAAUUCAGUUUACAUAUUCAGAUUCUUGGUGAUUUAUAAACCAGCAACAUUAUAUCUUCUGAGCACAUCAAAUCACUUGAUUUUCAGUACCGUAGCCUCCCUUGUUUAGCCACCUAUAGCUCCACCUAAAACUGACACCAGGACAUUCGACUCGUAAUCCUUGCGACCUCGGAAUCACUUCUGUUGAGCUGCUACACUAGCACAAUUCACUGUCCUUGAGAACAGAAAAUAGCAUUGGUAAGUAAGAGAUGAGAUUGUGUGAUUCCACAAAUUUACCCAUUCCACUAUAUCUUGCAUAAGUGCUAACAUGCCAGGAUCCAAUUCGAGCGUUCGUGAUGGUCGAUAUGGAGAAAAAGAAACAUCAGUUUCACGGGCUGAGUUACGUCAACUACGAAACUCACUAGUGGAGGCCAUGGAGAAGAUGUUUGAUGAACGUCUUCCUGUGGUGCGCGGUCGGGCUAAACAAUAUAGCUCAGCCAACUCUCGUCAUGGUCUCUUUGGCCACAGUGGACAACAUGGAGGAGGUGCUCAUGGGCAUAGCAUUCGCCCCCGUGUGCUCAUUUAUGAUGAAGAUUACUAUGUGUCCCCUAAAAGAAAAAUUCAGCAAGAGUGCCACCAACAAAAAUUCAGUGAGAGAAAUCAAAAAGAAAAGAUGAGACAUUCCACCAUACGUGAGAAGGAGUGGCACCAACCAAAAUUCAGUGAGAGAGUUCAAAAUAAAAAGAUGAGAGAUUCCACAAUAUUUAAGAAGAGCCACAAAAUUCUAUGCGAGAGUAAUCCACAAAAAUUGAGGGGAAAAAGAGAGGAAUCAUGUGAGGAAUUAUUUACUUCUAACAUCAUAAUACCUUCUAUUCCUGCUCCUUUUGCGAUGCAGGUUCAUGAAGAAAAUGAUGUUGUGAAUUAUGAUCAGCCCCCAAUCUUUGAUGAGGAAGAACAAGUGAUUGUCAAUGACAACAUACACAUGCAUAUGUGGCUUCACAAGACGUUGAAGUAAUUGUGUAUCAAAACCUAUGUGAGAAUGAGAGCCACAUUGCCAAAAUGAGAGACAGUGAAAACAAAAGUGAGUUGAGUGAUUCCACCCACUAUAAGGUUGAGAGUGUCAACAAUGAGAGUGUGAGGGAUAUACCACAGAAAAAUAGAUAUUUAGAAUACAGGCCAAGUGAGGAUAUCUUUGAAACUAACACUCUCAUCUCUACUUCUAGUUUUGUCUUUCCAAAUGUGCAGGUUGGUGAUGAGAAUAGGGAAGAGAUGGAUGCUCAAGACAACACUAUACUUAUUGAGAGAAAUGAGAAGGUAGCCAUUCAACUAAACCCAUUGUGUGUCGCCCAAAACCUGAACCAUGACAUAGAUGACGGUAAGAUUUCAGAGGUGCAAUCCUUGGUACUUGCACGACCAAAAAGUCUAAAAGUUAUUGAAAAUAAAUCAGAUUUGAAUUUGCAAAAUAAAAUAGCACGUAAUUAUGAUAAUACACAUGGUUCAAUUGGGAUUAACCAUACAUGAAAUAUUUGCACUGAUUUGAUUAUUUCACAUGUUUACCCGUGUGCUGAAAUUUUGCAAGUUGAUAACCAAAGUUCAAUCAUACUUGAUCUUUUCUAUGGUUUGAUAUGGUUCACAUACAUGAUGAUUUGCAUUCAUAUGUGUGAUACGAUGCAUUAUAUUUCAAUGCUCAUACAUCUUAGAGAUGGCUGCACAUUUCUCAACCCUUUAGUUAAUUCAUCAAAACCAUCUAAGAUCAACAAUGAAGGUAAGAAUUCAGAGAUUCAAACCUUGGUACAUGUAGAAUCAUUGGAUUUAAAAUACAUAAAAAAUAAAUCAAAUUUGAUUGUUCAACACAUACUGAGUACUUGUGAUAUCACUGUUUUAGCAAUAAAACAUAACCAAAACAUUUGUGCUGAUUUGACUGGAACUCAUGUUGAUAUAAGUGCUGAAUUUCUUUUUGAUAGGAGUCUUUGUGCUUUGAAUGAUCCUUGCAACACUUCAUAUAACAACAAAAAACACCUCAUCCAGUCGGUUACUUGUGCUGAUUUGUGUACAAGGAUAUCUCAUCUUGAAUAUUUGUGUUAUACUAUGCUUAACAUGUCUAUCAAUAUUGAACAAAUGCUUGAGAAAAUUUCUAACAUAACAUGUUUGAGUUCAUUGAAUACUACUCAUAGCUUCCAGUUUACAUUUGUCUUGAUUGGAAAACAUGUUGUAGAUACCUUCCAGGUUCAUGCAAUUUGUGUAACAUAUAACAAGCUUGCUGAUUUAGACUCAAAAAUGUUGAGAGACAAACAAAGUGAGAAAUCUUUUAAGAUGCAACAAAUGCUUUGUGCUUAUGGUUUAGAUCAAUUCAUGUUGUCGGCAUGUUCGUACCAUCCACUUAAAGUUAGAAAUCUUGUUCAAAGCGAAGCCUAUACAUCGAAAAGUUGUUCAUCCACACCUCGGAGCAUUGAGUUUGAAAAUUAUACUUCUAAACCCUUGAAUAAAUUUUGCUGCCACAAUAAUUUUUGGAAUAACAUUAGUUCUGAACAUCUAUUUGAUGAAAAGUUUGAUCUUCUAAAGAUAAAACAUGAUAACAUGAAGCAAAUGAUUGGAUUGGAAGAAUUUUUUGUGCUUCCAUCCUCUAAACUGUUUGCAGGUUCACCAAAGUUGAGAGAAUGUUUCUUACAUGGAAAAGGAAAUAAUGCAAAAAUUAUUCAUAAUGGAACAAAUAAACGAAACAAAAGGAAUGAUUAUUGGAAUUAUCAAGUACAUUCACCCUCUAUUUUGUCUGAGCUAUUUUCAUGCAAACAAAAGUCGUGGACGACUUUUCUUGAAGGGAGGGAGGAUGAUGAGACCAUACCAAGGCAAUCAAUAUUCAAGCAUCCACUCAAGGUGAAAGCUAAAUUUAAUUCCAAAUCAUUUAGGUUUCCACAUACAAGGCUACUACUUGGUUUAUAUGAUUAUAGAUUCAAACACCUUGCUAUCAUGGAACAAGAAGAUUGCGAUGUUAUCACAACAUUACAAAUGGAUGGCCUAGCACAACUCUUUGGAUCAGAAGAGUUAGAGUCGAGGACGACUCCUUUUGAAGAGGGGGAGGAUGAUAUGACCAUGCCAGCAAGGAAGAUGUCACAAGCUCUAAGUCAAGCUACAACCACUCAAGUUUUACCUACACCGACACCAGCCCAAGUCAUCGAUGGACCGGUUACACGUAGUCGUGCAAAGAAGCUACAACAAGAGGUCCACGCGCUACUUUGUGAGAUUCAUUUUAACAUUAAUGAGAAUUAUAUACUACCUAAGUGUUCUACCUUGAUUGUGCCCAGGUAUAUAGAAGAAGAGUAGGAUGAAUCAGACCGUGAAGAACUGUUGAUGCAAAACUGAUCUGCAAACACAAAGGGCUAAUACCCGAUUCAAAUGUUAAGGCGUGCCAGCCGAUUUGACCUUAUUAUCGGCAAAGGUGAUAACUCGAAUACUUUAGUCCUGACAACAGCGAUGCGCCCGGAUGUCACGGCUAAGGGGUAUUCACGCGGAACUUAAGGAUACGCCGAGCUUGAGUCGACGAAUUCCUAAGAACUCGUAACAAAAAGAAAACGUAUGACGAAGUCGUCGAAAAAUAAAUGCUAGAAUAUGAGUAAAAACGUGUGUUUGAUUGAUUGAUAGAUGUCCUGAUUACAAGGUCUUAGGGCUUAUAUUUAUACCCUGCUCAAAGAGCUACGACCAGACACGGUUAGAAUUCGAAUUCCAAUUUACACGGAACCCGUAUACAAAACGAUACGAAUAACAUAAGGAAAUAAUCAAACCAUCCUUCGUGACAAACCGAAACUCCUCCACAUGACAACUGGCAGCUUCCGGACUCCCCCUUCGCGUCAUCGGCAAUCCCCUUGCCAUAGUCAUCGGCAGACUCCUUUUACUUGGACAUCGGCACCAUAUUACUGUCUGAGGACUUAGUCACGUUCAACCUUUCCCUCAUCGGCAACCAUCCUUACCAGCAAUCCGCAUCGUACUGCCACCCUGUCCUGCCAUCCUGGACACGUGCCCAAAAAUGGUGUCAACACAUGCCCCCCAGUUUCGGAGUAUAAAACUAUUAAUGCUCCAAAAUUCUCUGCAGUAAUGAUGUCUUCUCCGCAAUUAAUGCUCCUAAUCUGGUAACCGACAACCUCAAUCUGGGCAACUCUGAUCCUAAUCCUCCGCAGAUCCCUCGAAAUCCACAACUUCCCAAACGGGCAUUUCUCUUAGUCGUACAUCGGCAACACACCUUUGUUUCUCCGUUUUUAGCUUCUUAGUCUAGCCGAUAAGACUGUUAUCGGCAUCUUUUGAAACAUUAAGUCUGCCCCCGAACAUUUAAAUCCAGCCGAUAGGAGUGUUAUCGGCACUUAAACUUUUAUGCGUCGAUCCAUAUGCUGGGGUAGUACUUCUUUAAAUAUUUGCCAUUUAACGCCCUGGGAAAUUCAACUCCUUCGAGAGUUUCCAGAAUAUAGGCAUUACCAGGAGCUGAGUGCUUUAUCCGAUAAGGACCUUCCCAAUUAGGAGACCACUUCCCAAACUUCGAACUUUUAGUCCCGACUGGUAAAAUCAACUUCCAUACCAAAUCCCCAUCAGCAAACUCCUUAGCCUUUACUUUCUUGUCAUACCAUCUAGCAACUCUCUUCUUAUUUUCUUCUAUACUCAUUAAAGCCUUCAACCGAUGCCCUGCUAAAUCAUCUAACUCAUCGGUCAUUAAAGUGGCAUAAUCAUCGGCAGCCAAUUGAUCUUGAAAAGAUAACCGCCUAGAUCCAGCCUUAAUCUCCCAAGGCAAAACUGCAUCAUGCCCAUACACCAAUUGAUAAGGUGACACCUUGGUUGAUCCAUGACAAGCCAUCCGAUAAGACCACAGUGCUUCAUUCAACAAUGUAUGCCACCGCCUAGGAUUUUCUUCAAUCUUUCGUUUAAUAAGCUUGAUAAUUCCCUUGUUAGACGCUUCGGCCUGCCCAUUGGCUUGAGCAUAGUAAGGAGAAGAAUUCAACACUUUAAUUCCCAUACCGAUUGCGAAUUCAUCGAACUCCCCCGACGUGAGCAUGGUACCCUGAUCGGUAGUAAUUGUUUGGGGAAUCCCAAAUCGGUAAAUAAUAUGCUCCUUCACAAAAUCAAUCAUAUUGGCCGAUGUGACUUUCUUCAAAGGAAUAGCUUCGACCCACUUGGUGAAAUAGUCAGUGGCAACUAGAAUGAAUUUAUGCCCUUUACUAGAUGGUGGAUAAAUCUGGCCGAUCAGAUCGAUGGCCCACCUCCGGAACGGCCAAGGUUUUAUUAUAGGAUUCAUAGCCGAUGCGGGUGCUCUCUGGAUAUUACCGAACUUUUGACAACCUUGACAUCCCUUGAAAUAUUUAAAACAAUCUUCAAGUAUGGUUGGCCAAAAAUAUCCAUUCCUUCGAAUCAUCCACUUCAUCUUAAAAGCUGACUGAUGCGCUCCACACACCCCUUCAUGGAUUUCUCCCAUCAAACUUCUGGCUUCAUCAUCACCCAAGCAUCGGAGAAGAAUUCCGUCGAUAGUUCGAUAAUACAAUUCAUUUUCAAGGAUCACAUACUUGGUUGCUUGAAAUCGAACCCGUCUUUCAACUUUUUUGGAUGGAUCUUUCAGAUAAUCAAUAAUCUCUUCCCUCCAAUCACCGGCACUGACUACCGAUGUCGCAUUAAUCAUUGGCUGAUAUCCUGAGGCAUGCUGGGCUAACCGAUUAGCGUCUUCAUUAUGCAAUCGGGGAAUAUGCUCCAAUCGGAAAUUCUUGAAUUCCUUUAACAGUUGUAUACUUCUCUCGAAAUAGGUUAUGAGAACUUCACUCCGGCAUUCAUAGCUUCCGGCCAAUUGAUUUAUAACCAACAUGGAAUCUCCGAAUACUUCAACAGCAUCAGCACGAACUUCUCUUAAUAACUCCAAUCCCCUGAUCAGAGCUUGAUACUCAGCCUGAUUAUUUGUUGAUGUAGCAACAAUCGGCAAGGAAAAUUCAUACUUCCUCCCCCUAGGAGAAACUAAUACAAUGCCGAUUCCUGCUCCCUGGUCACAGGUAGAUCCAUCAAAGAAGAGCGUCCAGGGUGCAAUUUCCAAGGUUUCCACUAGACCACAAUGCUGAGUCACAAAAUCGGCCAUAACCUGCCCUUUGACCGCCUUAGCCGAUUCGUAACGCAAAUCGAACUCCGACAGCGCCAAAAUCCAUUUACCGAUCCUACCACUCAUAAUCGGCAUAGAUAGCAUGUAUCGGACCACGUCAUCUUUGCAAACAACAGCACAUUCGGCCGACAACAGAUAAUGUCUUAGCUUGAUACAUGAAAAAUAUAAGCACAAGCACAGCUUCUCUAUAGCCGAAUACCUGGUUUCAGCAUCAAUCAACCUCCUGCUCAAAUAAUAAAUUACUCUCUCCUUCCCUUCAAAUUCUUGAACUAAAGCUGAACCAAUAACCGAUCCAUCGGUAGAUAAAUAUAAUUUGAAGGGUUUCCCUUGUUGGGGUGGAACUAAAACUGGAGGAUUCACUAGAUACUUUUUGAUCUCAUCCAAAGCCAACUGUUGUUCUUCCCCCCAAACAAACUCCUGAUCGGCUUUCAAUUUAAGAAGGGGACUGAAAGCACGAAUUCUCCCAGAUAAAUUUGAUAUAAAUCUUCUGAUAAAAUUCACCUUGCCGAUCAAGGAUUGGAGCUCGGUUUUAUUGGUAGGGGCCACUAUUUUAUUGAUGGCAUCAAUAGAUCUUCGACUAAUCUCAAUACCCCUCUGAUGUACCAUAAAACCAAGAAACUGCCCUGCCGAUACGCCAAAUGCACACUUGCUGGGAUUCAUCUUCAAUCCAUGCUUCCUGGUGCACUCCAACACUUUUCGUAAAUCGGCAAGAUGCUUUGAGAAAUCUCCAGACUUAACCACCACAUCAUCAAUAUAAAUUUCUACGAUUUUGCCGAUGAACUCAUGAAAUAUGAAAUUCAUAGCCCUUUGAUAAGUAGCACCAGCAUUCUUUAACCCAAAAGUCAUGACUAUCCAUUCAAACAAUCCAACAUGACCAGGACACCUGAAUGCGGUUUUUGGAAUAUCCUCCUCUGCCAUGAAUAUUUGAUUGUAACCCGCAUUACCAUCCAUGAAACUGAUGACCCGAUGGCCAGCCGCAGCAUCAACCAGUAGAUCGGUGACAGGCAUUGGGUACCCAUCCAUCGGCGUAGCUUUAUUGAGAUUCCUGAAAUCAAUGCACACUCGAAGCUUCCCGUUCUUUUUGUAAACCGGAACAACAUUGGAAAUCCAUUCGGCAUACCGACACUGCCGAAUAAACUUAGCUUCAAUAAGUUUAGUGAUUUCGGCCUUAAUAUCAGGUAGAAUGUUAGGAUUACAUCGGCGGGCUGGUUGCUGAUGUGGCCGAAAUCCAGACUUGAUGGGUAACCGAUGUUCAACAAUUGAUCGGUCUAAACCAGGCAUCUCUGUAUAAUCCCAAGCAAAGCAAUCUUUAUAUUCCUUCAACAAACUAGUUAAUUGCCGUUUACACUCAGGGUCUAGUUUAGCACUAAUAAAAGUAGGCCUAGGUUUAUCACCACUACCUAUAUCUACUUCUACCAAAUCGUCGGCCGAUGUGAAUCCUUGGCCUAAUUUUCCAUCAUCGGCGAAUCUAUCCAUUAAAAACCGUCGUCAGAACCGACUGCUUGGAUCGGUGGACUCUCAUAAUCGGCAACUUUGAGAAAAUCUUUCUCCCAAACUUCUCCUGAAAUGCACCUAGUUUUUUCAUAAGUAUCCGCUUCUGCCGAUGCGAUAACAUAAGAAGAAUCCCCUGGGACGAUUUCAAUCUUGUCACCUACCCACUGAACCAAGCACUGAUGCAUUGUAGAUGGGACACAACAAUUGGCAUGAAUCCAAUCUCUCCCCAAUAAUAAAUUAUAGGCACCUUUUCCGCUGAUCACGAAAAAGGUUGUCGGCAAGGUUUUGCUGCCGAUCGUCAACUCUGCACAUAUCGCCCCCUUGACCGGAGACACGUUUCCCUCAAAGUCUUUGAGCAUCAUAUCGGUCUUGGUCAAAUCUCGAUCCCCUUUCCCAAGCUUCCGAUAUACUGCAUACGGCAUAAUAUUAAUAGCAGCUCCACCAUCAACUAGGAUCUUGGUCAUUGGCUGCCCAUCAACCCUUCCUUUGAGGAACAAAGCUUUAAGAUGCUGCCUCUCGUUAUCGGCAGGUUUCUCAAAGAUAGCCGUCAUCGGAUCCAGAGCCAACUGAGCUAUCUGAUCAGAAAAUCCCAACUCAUCAUCACUGGCUGGUGCAAGAAACUCCAUCGGCAACAUGAAUACCAUGUUGACGCCUGCCGAUGGCUCUUCCUUCUUAGUGUCUGCCGGCUGCCGAUUUUCAGAACUCUCUCCUUUAUUUAACUCCUCCUGCCUUUCUCGUUGCAACCUCCUUUUCUGUGUCUUGGUUAAUCCUUGAGGGCACCAUGGAGGAAGUGGCCUUUGCCUUACUGCCGGGCGUCGGCUCUCCCUUGACUCCAUAUGAUGUGUGUUAGCAUCUCUGCAAAAUAUGAACUCAUCGGGAACCCGCGCAUUAGCCAUCUCCUCAAGCUCUUCCUGGUUCCUGGGAAAAUACUGGACACGGUCACCGAGCCGAUCGCGAACACUAAGCCUGCCCCCCAGCCGAUCAUGAACUGACGCUCUUCCUCUGAUUGGCCCAUUAAAUCGUCGUUCAUCAUCAUGAUAACGCCGAUCGUUCCUAUCGUACCGAUCAUAACCGUUGCAUUCAGGGCAGUCUCUGACAGUAGGAAGCUUGAUAUUUUCCUCCCAACAAUGGAUGAAGAAUGGGCAACUCCAAUGAUCCCUGUGCCGAUUCCACUCCUGCCGACGUCUUUCUUCCUCCCGUUGAUAAUCUUCCUGCUGGCGCCGGUACCGAUCUUCCCGUUGUUGCCAUCUCUCUCGAGGCCUUCUAUGAGUUAUGACAAUACCAGAUCGAGGAAUUCUCCCUGAGCUAGCUCCUUCCUGAACCAAGCCCUUACUUCUUGCAUCGGCGGUAGUAACCUGAUGCUGAGGAUCUACCGAUGCACUCUUCUCAGCUGUCUCCGAUGUUAAGACCUUAGCCUUCCCCUUAGCAUCCAACAUAUUCGUCGGGAAAGGAUGUUGGUCUAUCUUCAUCGGCUUCUAGGCUUUGGAACUAUCAAACUUAAUUCUUCCUGACUCUAUGGCCGAUUGCAGCUGUUGUCUGAAUACUUUGCACUCAUUGGUAUCAUGUGAAGUUGCAUUAUGCCACUUGCAAUACCUCAUCCUCUUCAAUUCUUCUGCCGACGGGAUCACAUGGUUAGGUGACAGUUUGAUCUGACCUUCCUGAAGUAGAAAGUCAAAUAUCCUAUCGGCCUUGGCGGUGUCAAAGGCAAACUUCUCUGGUUCUUUCUGCCCAAAAGGACAAGACAUCGGCUUCUUGUUUUUUACCCACUCUGCCAAACCGAUUACUGGUUCCUCGUCGGAAUCUGAGCUUGUUGCUUCGUCAACAAAUGACACUUUCUUAUUCCAUGCCCUCUUAGGCUCGAAAGGCUUGAUGUCUUGAUCAGAUAUCCUCUGCACCAAAUGACUUAAACUCUCGAACUCUUGAGAUGCAUACUUAUCCCUGAUAUGUGGCAACAAACCCUGGAAAGCCAAAUCGGCUAGCUGCCGAUCAUCUAGAACCAGGCUAUAGCAUUUAUUCUUGACCUCUCGUAUCCUCUGCACAAAUCCCUCAACCGACUCGUCAUUACGUUGCCUCAACUUAACCAAGUCGGUGAUCUUCUUCUCAUGAACCCCUGAGAAGAAGUAUCUGUGGAAUUGUUUCUCUAGAUCGGCCCAAGUAAUUACUGAGUUGGGAGGUAACGAUAUGAACCAAGUAAAGGCCGAUCCAGACAGUGAUGACGAAAAUAGACGAACCCUCAAUUCGUCCCUGUUACCAGCCUCUCCACAUUGAAUAAUGAACCUGUUGACAUGCUCCAUGGUUGACGUGUCGUCCUGCCCGGAAAACUUUGUAAAAUCUGGUACCUUGUAUCGAUGUGGAAGCGGGAUCAAAUCAUACGCUGGAGGAUACGGUGUCCGAUAAGAAUAAGUGUUGACUUUGGGUUUUAUCCCAAAUUGUUCCCUCAUUACUUCAGCAAUCUUAUCGGCCCAAUAAGCAUCGGCAUCUUGCCGAUGAGGCGGCUGCGGAUCCAGUACUUGGUGGCGAACCUCCACGUGCCUGUUUGGGACGUGACCUGUAUGGAACAUUGUAUUGGCCACCUGUCCUCCAAUCUGUGGACUACCAAACUGCUGUCCACCGAUUGGCUGUCCUCCGAGUUGCUGUCCAAAAUUUAUUGGCUGGUUGGGAAUUCCCUGACCUUGGAACCCGGGAUAAAUCUGCCCUUGCUGGAACCCCGUAGUCUGAUAACCCUGCUGGGGCGACUGUGGAAAGGCUUGCUGUCCAAGCCAUCCAUUAUUAGCGUUCAUCGGCAUAGGUGCUGCCCGAUGACUGGUAAUUGGGUAUCGUCGUUGAAUUGACAUACCCCGACUGGGCCAUAGGCCUCUGUUGCAUCAACAUUGAUUCUGCCGAUGCGUUGGGCAUCUGGAACAUUAGAUCUUGAGGGUUUCCAGUGUGAGGCCUUGCGGUAGUAGUUGUGGUAAACCGAGGACUCUGGUUCACCGGCACAUUGGACGGUGCCGAUGUUAUAGGAGUUUUGCCCCUCAUGUCAGUUAUUUGUGAUGUUCCUGGAGUCAACUCCGGAGGCAUACCAUAACCCCACCAGUUGGGAGGAAGAGGUAACCCCGACAUUGCCGAUGCCAACAUAUCUGUUGUCAGUUUAUGCUGCCCAACUGAAAUUUGUGGGUUGGUUGCCAUCGGCAUAGAUAGUGCACCAGUAGUCCCCAAUGUACUUGGAGGGACGGCAGACUGUGCACUUGCACUCGUCAAGGCAGCCGAUGGAGCCGUGACCUCUGGUGCCGUGGGUUGAUGAUGGGAAGGGCCCACAUAAUCCGGCGGGAUUUGUCCUUCCUUGAAAGUUCUUGCCACGGCGUUGAAAACCGUGUUAGACAGUACACCAGCUUGGUUGAUCAGCGCUCGAUUGAUGGCAUUGUCAACCAUGUCUUGAAGCUUGCCAGGAUUAGCGUCGAAGGUGACCUGCCGUGGUGCCGGCAGUGCAUCUUUCUGGACCACUUCGCCGCUCCUGUUUAUGCUGAAAGACUUCAGGCACUGCUGCUUGAACUCUUCCAUGGCUUGGGCGAUAGCUUGCUUCUGCUCAUCCUUGAGGUUAGCUUCCGUCACGGGGAUGACGUUGUCUUGAUCGAGGUCAGAGAUCGACAUGUUGAUCUUGAUCUUGAAUCUGUCCCACCGGGCGUGCCAAAAGAUGUGUUGAUGCAAAACUGAUCUGCAAACACAAAGGGCUAAUACCCGAUUCAAAUGUUAAGGCGUGCCAGCCGAUUUGACCUUAUUAUCGGCAAAGGUGAUAACUCGAAUACUUUAGUCCUGACAACAGCGAUGCGCCCGGAUGUCACGGCUAAGGGGUAUUCACGCGGAACUUAAGGAUACGCCGAGCUUGAGUCGACGAAUUCCUAAGAACUCGUAACAAAAAGAAAACGUAUGACGAAGUCGUCGAAAAAUAAAUGCUAGAAUAUGAGUAAAAACGUGUGUUUGAUUGAUUGAUAGAUGUCCUGAUUACAAGGUCUUAGGGCUUAUAUUUAUACCCUGCUCAAAGAGCUACGACCAGACACGGUUAGAAUUCGAAUUCCAAUUUACACGGAACCCGUAUACAAAACGAUACGAAUAACAUAAGGAAAUAAUCAAACCAUCCUUCGUGACAAACCGAAACUCCUCCACAUGACAACUGGCAGCUUCCGGACUCCCCCUUCGCGUCAUCGGCAAUCCCCUUGCCAUAGUCAUCGGCAGACUCCUUUUACUUGGACAUCGGCACCAUAUUACUGUCUGAGGACUUAGUCACGUUCAACCUUUCCCUCAUCGGCAACCAUCCUUACCAGCAAUCCGCAUCGUACUGCCACCCUGUCCUGCCAUCCUGGACACGUGCCCAAAAAUGGUGUCAACAAGAACGAACCAAUGCAAGUUGUAGAAGACACUACAAAAUGGACCAGAGAGUGAAGAACGGACCAGUACAAAGAAAUCUUGAUAACCUUUUAAUCACAAAAGCUAUGAAGGCCCAUGAGGACUAGUUGGAAAGCUUGUUGAGUCUAUUUUCCAAUUAAUCUAGUGGCGACCAGUUUGGAUACUCCAUAUUGCCUGCAGACCAGAAUUAGUAUAGACUCCUUAGAAGGUCAACACUCUGUCGUGACAGAAUGUUGGUACAACUUGCCGUGCAAAACUAUACCAAUCUACAAUGUUUCGUGGUGCAUGGCAUACAUUGCUGGAAAGCACUUGGAGUCUAGUUUCACAUCCAAGAAACGGUUCAUCAUUUGGACUUCCCAAUAAAAGUUAUGGUCAGUUUAUUGGAAAGUGCUCUGGAGGCCAACAGUCACGCGAAGCCAGUUUGGGAAUCCAUUCCGAGGGGACCUUUCACAUUGCCUUCCCUCAGAAACUCUAUUUUUCAUACCUAUCUAGGAGGGUUGUUCCUAGUAUAAAUAUCCCUACCUCUAAGCUAUCAGCAACCUUUGAUCAUUUUGAUAAACUACAUGAUAUUGCAGUCGCACUGCUGAGUGCCUUACUCAACCUUUGUUCUUCCUUGUUCUUCAUGGACUUGUGAAGUGAAUCCUCUAGGUUCCCCUACUUCGUGCUCUACGGCUUCCGUUCGUCUGCGUCGUAUUGUGUGGAUUAGUUCCGGAUUGUUGUUCUGUGGUUGUUUGGAGAAGACUUCGUGGUUUCGGUGCCUCUCUCCCUGUCGCUUGGUCGCAUCCAACCUUUGUCAGGUAUGAAGCUAGUUACCCGCUAUUGGCAGCAAGUUAUCCUUGUUCUUUCGAUCUACUGUCGUGAAGAUCAGGCCACCCUCGUACCAAUUUCAUAUCGGUAGCCUAUCACCUUUAUCCUCAUAGGUUCUCAGGUCACUCAUUAUCUUUUAUAUAUCUCACUGAGGCUGUUUUAAUUUGCAAUAAUUCUCAAGCAUACUUACCUUGCAUUUAUUGCCUGAUCGAAACAGGAUCCGAGGAGAGGAAUGUCAUACUCUUAGAUCAAAGACUUUGGAAAUUAAAAACUUGUCAACUCUUACUGGUAUAUUGCUUAUUAGAGGGACCAUGGGCUAUCAUUUUCUUCUUUCUUUUCUCUUCUUCUUUUUUCAGGUGGAUACCGAGGUACCCCUAAUUCUACUGCCAGACACUUGUCCAUUUUUUUUCUGCGAGGUUGUCGAGCACUUGCUCCUUUUUAUUUCCUUGAAAUAUCCAUAUUUUUGCAUAGCUCAUGCCUAUAACACAAUAAUACUUCGGAAGAGUGAAUCUUUCUGAAUAAAUAUCUUGAUCUUAGGUGUAUGAUAAAUCUCUCAACAAGGGUCUAACUUAUUUUGAACAAACUCAAUACAGAGUAGAUAGCUUUUAUAAUUAUCAUAAUUAAUAUUUUCAAGUUUAGCAGGCAUAUAAAAACUGAGGAUGGUAGCUAGAAUUUUUGAAGAUUUUGAAAUAAAUUCUCCAAGCAACAACGAUAUCAAGAAUAAGAUACUCAUACUCUACCAUCUCACAUUCCACAGUGACUUAAGUAACACAGGGUUUUUAAAUGAUUUUUAAUAAUUUCAAGUUUUUAGGAACUAUCAUGGAGUGAGAUUGAUCAUGAUUAGAAACAUUUUAAUCUUGUUAAUUUAUCCUGCCGAAGACAAUAUUCUGCACAAACCAAGAUAUAUGUGUAUGUGUAAAGUGUGUAGAGUAUGUACCUGAAUCGUGGAGUGGUGUAGUCGAAGUGCAUUUGGCAUGUCAAGGGAUCUCCCCCAUACUUGUUUUCUACUUUCUUGCAUAAAAAUAAAGUAGAGACACACAAGACAUAAUAAUAAUAAUAAUAAUAAUAUUUAUUAAUCUUGAGGCAUUUAUUACAAAUGACUAGUAAUGAACUGAAGCUAAUAAUAGAUCUCAACCGAAUUUUAAAGAUGAAUAACUAAGAUGCACUGCCUCAAGAUCUAAUCUAGAUAACUUAGCGGCGCAGUAACUCCCUAAUCUUCUUAUUGGCACUAGCAAGAUCAUGCUUAAGACCUAGUAUAACGGUGUUCUGGUUAGAGAGGUGCCUAUUGAUGGAGUUAACCAAGGACUGGAGCUCUAUGAUGACCUUGUCUAGCCUACGAACGUCUUCAUCUACAUCUGCUAUAGUCUUGUGGCGCUUAGGAGGUGUCUCAAGAGUGCUGAGAGCGUGCUCCGGGGCUGCUUUUGGAGGGAUGAAACGGACUUUGGCUGCUCUAUCCCCCUCGAAGUAAGGCCUCUCUUCCUCUAUAGUGUAACGGAUGCUGCUGAUCUCGCCGCUCUGGUUGGUCUUGACUCCAACGACCCGCUCAUUGGGCCUGGGGGGCAGGAUCCUCGUGCCAGCUGGCACCUUGACGGUGGCCUCCUUCUUGGCUAAUGGUCCCUUGAAAAGUAAGGGCUGCGGCAGUUGUUGACGGUCCUUAAUGCUCACAAUUAACCAUCAAUUAAUCAUGGAAAAGGAUCCAAAUGCAACCAACACCUAGACUUAGGGUUUUAUCUGACAGAAUUCCACGAGUUUUGGUGUUUGUCUAUUUCUGCAGGGGGUUAUCAGGAAAUACGGAAGAAAGGCCCACACCUCGGGUUUACAUAGAGAUAUUAACAUGCCGCACAAUUAUCUACCAUCUAGAAGAGUCCAGAAGCCACGGGAGCGAACGAGAGACGUAACGGAGCCGGGCACUGGGCGCCCGCCCUACCUUACUGGGCGCCCGCCCUCCCCCCUGGACCAAUCAGGGUGAAGUUCGGGGAUCAUACUCCACCGACCUAAUACUUCAAGGAAAACCACACGAUCAAUGUCGGUUUGAUCCGACGGCCCAGAUUCAUCUGAAAAGACUAUAUAAGCAUGGCCCCCUGGCCCCUGGAGAUCAUACCUCUUCUACAGAAUCAAAGCUAGGGUUUCAAUUCUUCAUCCAAGUAGAGAGGAUCCCUCUAGUUAUUCUAGUUCUACCCCUAGUUCAUCUAGAUCUAGUUCUAGUUCUAGUUCCUCUAGUUCUAGUUCUAGUUAGUUCUAGUUGUAAUCUAGAAAAUAGGGAGAGAGAAGAGGAGAGCGGAGGAGGACCGGAUCUGUCGGAUCUUCCUCAACAUUGUAGUUUUGCAGCAACUGGUUCGUUCUUCAUCGUUCUCCAGGUUCUUCAACUCAUAACUCCUGAGUUCUCUAAUUACUUUUAUUUACAUUCAAGUUAUUUAUUGGAUUCCCGCUUGCAUCAAGUGCUCUAAUCUUUGAAACAUUAGAGUAGUAAUUAAUAGAUUAGAUGUGGUGUUUAGUCUUGCAAUUAACUAGAAUUGCACCCAAUCCUGCGGAUUCUUGUGGUAGCCUUAGGGUAGUGACAGCCCUAACGGUCGACGUAUUCCACCUUGUUCGGAUCGGUGUUUGUAGGACCGUAGUCGGAGCUUCCUAGCCCCCUUCUCAUCUCUUUCUGUGGUUAGUGUUCUGAUGUCCCGAAAUAGAUAAUCUUGAAGUAAUUAUUGAUUAUUAGAUCAACUAGAGAACUCUCAGGAAACUUCCUCUCUUCCCACCAAAAAUAUUUAUAUAGUUAUCCUUGGGCGAUCUUGAUUCUUAAUUAGUACACUCACGUUCCCUGUGGAAAAUCGAUACUCUGGAAUACUCCCGGGUGAAGGCUACAUCGGUAUCCGUGCGCUUGCGGAUUUUUCUGUUUGCGUUUAAAAUACCCAACAAGCUUUCUGGCGCCGUUGCCGGGGAACGGUAGCUGUGCUAGUUUUGAACCAAGUCAUCCGUGUAUCCUUUUUCUUUUCCUUAUUUACCACACUCACCUUACCAUUUUCACCAUACCACAUGGAUUUCACUCUAAGCAUUAAUGAGCAUAGAAUUUAUUUCAUAGCCACUCCAUUUACUCCAUGCUCAUAUGCAAUAUCUUCCCAAUCCAUUGGUUUUUCCAACAUCACCACAUUCGAGAUCUCCAACCCCCUCAUCCUUUCUAUUUAUAAAAACUUUAAAAGGGCGGUUGUCGAUGCAUAUGUCUAUAAGAAAUAUUGCAGAUCUCGUUGAGUUGAUCUUGAUAUAGGUCAGUGUUGGAGGGGAAACCACUUCACCGACAUAAAUUGAUGGUUUCCCAAGGACAAGCUUAGUGUCCUAAAACAAGCACUGAUCAGAUUGUAACAUGAGCUUUUAAUUAUUUGCAACAUUACCUUGUGUGUUGAGCAUAUAAGUAUAAUUGUAAAAAAUACCUUCGGGUAUUCUUGUCACUAACCUUUCUAGGAUUGGAGCAAGAAGAUCGGAUGAAUGACAAGCACAAGGUAUGUACAACCAAUCAUCAUACAACAUUGAAUUAAAUUCAUACAAACUUGAAUUUUGCAAAAUUCAAGCUUGGGGGAGUACUUUACAUAAAAACAUCCUUUGCCAUGUUGCUAUGUUGGUUGUCCCAACCUUUGAGACAUGCUCAAUUUGUUAAAUACUAAUCACACUACUUCAUCUCCACUCGAGUAGAUCUCUAUAAAUGCUCUCGUGCUACCUUUAUUUGCUUUAGUAUAUGUCUAGGUUUGGAGUAGUUUCAUUUAUCUCUUAAUUAAGCAUGGUGCUUAGUUUAGGGCUGAUGAUCUUACUUCUAAGGGAGUUUAAAUUAAGCAUGAUGCUUAGGUUAAAAUGUCCUCCUAAAUCAAAUUAGACAUGGUGUCUAGGUUGAUCUUUGAGCCGAUAGUAUGCUAUAGUAGAUAUUGGAUAUUUUGUUGGACUAACCCCUGCAGGAAAACUUUCAAUACCGACCUGGGAAGUCCUGAGACAAACUCACAUUGGAGACAAAGAGAGAGACACAUGAAGUUUAAUAAUUUACAGAAUGAAGGCAUAGCUCACAAGAGAUGAUCCAUGGAGGGUGCCACAAACAUGAUGCACAACCGCUAAGAAAGGAAAGCUUCCACAAGGAGAUACCGUACCAUCACUCUUCAAGUAAGGUAACAUCUUAAGGUACUUGACUAUCACUUUUAUAAGCUUCUCCUUGGUUCUAGCGUUCACAUGAAUAAAAGAGACAAACAUGUAUGAUUUACAACUCUAGAUCAACCAACCCAAUCGAUUCAAUAUGUUUAGUCCUUCCACCUUUGUGAUCCCACACUCCUAAUCAUAUGAGCUAAAGUGUUGACCACUCAAUCUUUGAAAGAUAUAUUUUAUAUAAAAAAACAAAACAUAAAUAUAGAUAGAUUAUCUUUCUAUUAGGUUGAGACGACAUUAUGCCGGUCAAGAGAGACGAUCCAGGAUGCCCCGCCAUCCCGAUCUCCAUCGGCAUGGUGAACUUCCCAGAAGCACUCUGCGACUUUGGCUCCAGCGUCAACAUUAUGCCCAGGGUACUCUAUGAAAAAUUCUUUACACAUCCUUUAUUAGAAACAGCCAUGUGUUUGCAGCUUGCAGAUCGUACGCAAAGUUUCCCAAAGGGAAUAUUGAAGAACCUCUGCGUCCGAGUUGGUACCUUGUACGCCCUAGCAGACUUCGUGGUUAUAGAGACUGGUACUGAUGAGAGGGCACCCAUCCUAGGGAGGCCAUUCCUGAACACCUCAGGAGCUGUCAUCUACGCUAGUGCUGCCAAGAUCAAUUUCUACAUCAAGGGGAGGAAGGAGACGUUUUCCUUCAAGAACAAGACUGCACAAAUCCUAGAGCAAUCCCGACAUGAACCAAGGAAGAGGACCAACAGGAGGAACAGGACCAAGCAAAUGUGGACCGAGUCAGCUAAGAUGGUCACUACAGUUCAAGGAGGUCAAGAUCGUCGAUUCAAGUCACCUUUCUUGAUCAAGAAGGACGACCCUGGUGUUCCAAGCAUCGACUGCACAAUCAACGGAUAUUCUUUUCAGAAGACACUCUACGACACCGGAUCUGACGUCAACAUAAUUGUUGCAGUCACAUAUCAGCUCCUGUUCGGAACCAUGCCCCUAAAACCGACAUACAUUCAGCUCCAGAUGCAAUCAGACAUUCUGAAAGAUUGAAGGUUAUUGACUUGGGAGAAGACGAGUACGAUCCACCCAUCAUCCUUGGAAGACCGUUCUUUAGCACCAUUAAAGCAAUCAUAUACGUUGGAACCAGAGAAGUCCACAUGCACUUCCUCUCAGAGAAGGUACGCCACUGUUUUACUGACCCUAACUAUAUAGUUGAAGACUCUAAGCAGGUCAGGACAAGAACAAGACGACGCAACAGCAACCAGAGGAGGCAAAUCAUCAAGGACGGAUGGGCAGACUAUGAAGGAGAAGUCGUAAGGUCUGAAGACAUACAGCUUGAAUAGAACUGUCCUGAGGAGACCGUAGCACCGAGUCAGGUGUGGAGAAAGAAGAUAGUUAUACAUGAAGAGCAGGCUCCACCGGAACCACCGACUACGCCAUCCAGCGAAUCCCAGAACGACUGAGUAAACGGAGAGUCCUGUUCGGAAGACUUAAAAACACCGAACGCCUUGCCAAGAGGUAAACUUGGUAGUUAUCUUUUUCCUUUCAAUCAUUUAAAACGGUUUGCUUAGUUAAUCAGGUUCAUAUCAUCUUGAAAAUAAAAUAAAAAUGUUAAAAAUAGUAAGCGCCAUGUGAGUAUGCUCAUGGCAUAAAACCCAUAAGUACAUUCACUGUGGUGGUGUAAGAAUCAAAUAAAUAUAUUCUUAUCCUAUAAAAAUGAGAAUAAAUGAGAAUAUAAAAAUAAAUAAAUGAUCCUACUAAAGAGAGUAACAUUUAUUGAGGAGGCUCAACAUGAUAAAGGCUAGAUAUUUAUGCUAACACUUAACCAGUUUCACAAAGCUUUUUUGUUGUCUAUUUGAGCUCCACAGAAUUCAAGGAUCAAAGAAGACUAGCACACGGACGACAUCCUAAUCGCUGUCAGGGUGCUGCCGACAUUCAAAUACACCUCCGCCACCUGCUAGUUACAUCAGAAGAAAUUACGUAAAAAUCCAGCUUGGGGGAGAGCACUCCCAUUUAUCCAGCUAAGUGUUCUACUCACGUUUAUAUUUUACUCAAAUAAUAAAAAGAUGCAUAAUCAUAAAAACUCAAAUAAAGAUUUUGUGCUUAUAUAUAUCUUUGCUUAGUUUGCUAAAUAAAUAAAUAAAUAAAGUUUGCUAUAAACCCUCAUGAUAAUCUCUCACAUGGAAAUGAUGAAUAGUUGCUCUGCCAUGACUAAUUCUCAAAAUUGAAAUAUCUCUCAAGUUUAGGCAUGAUUGGUAUUAAUUAAGAUUUGCUCUAAACCUGAACUUGUGGGGAGAGUACUUGAUCUGAAGUCUAAGUCGUUAACGGAUAUGAUAUGGGAAAGUUGAGCUGCUGUUUAUCUGUUCCUAGAGAUGCUAGAAUUCUGGAGAAUUUUAUCUUUGAAAAUCUUUAAAAUGUUGCAUGAUGAGUUCCUGUAUGAUGAGAGUUUAAAUUCCUACCACAGCCAUAUAUACAUGCUUGCUAGACUAUGAGCCACACAUUUACUUUUUACUACUUAUGAGCAUUGAGUGUGGUCAAGCUGUGUAGACCCUUAGAAGCUUGUCAUGCGGUUAAAUCAAGAUUCACUUGCACGUUCACUCAUACAUGCUACUUCUACUUCGGAAGUACGCACCCACAUAUAUCCAUCCAUUUCCAUCUCCAGAACCACCCAAAAAUAUUCUACUCCUAAUCCGGGAGAGAAUAGCCAAAAACAUUUCUGUUUUUCCCUGUGAAAUAAAUGCUCAAGUUAUCUUGGUUACUACCACUUGCUAUAUUAUUUCAGGAGAUGAGUGCUCAAAAAAAAAAGAGAGAGAAAAAAAAGAGAAAAAAAUACGAGGAAAUAAAAAGGGGCAAGUGCCCGGAACCUCGAAAGAAAAGAAAAAGUGAGACGAGAGGUAAAAAUGGACAAGUGUCCGACAGUAGAAUUAGGGGUACAAGAUACCCACCUGAGAGAAAAGAAAAAAAAAGAGAGAAAAUAUAGAGCAUCUCAUUCUCCUCAAAAAGUUUCAAAAGUGCAAGAAAGGUAUGUAUCCCCUCAAAAGAGCACUAGUAGAAUUAGACUUUCACCAUUGUUAUCACCAUCAUUACCAAACAACAUUCAUUCGCCACACAUGCACAUCUUGAUUUGACUUAUUGACUUGUUCUUCUGGAUCCAUGGUUUGACUAUGCAAUAAAUGUAUUGUAAGUAUGUAUUAGCUGUCUCCCACCUAUGAGCUCCAGAUAUCAAAACCUUAUUAGAGUAGGGUGAGAGAGAAGGCAAUACCACUAUGUCUCAUACCAAAAAUACCACAUACUUUGAGAGAAGGCAUACACCAUUACUGCCUUGGUAAGGAUCCAGAAAUACCACAAAAGAGAGACUAGAGAGAGUCAUACAAGGAAUCUCUGAGUUUUAUUUGAAAAUCUGCAAAAAAACUCCAGAGCUAUAGUUAAUCAAGAAUAAGAGACAUGGCGCUUGACUAGACCGUUCUAUCUUUUCACUGCUCAAGACACAGGUGACGGUUGCAAGCCCCAUGGUGGAAGGUAAUAUGAGUAAGUUUAAAUCUUAACAGUUUAACCUAACCCAGAGAUGAGAUAUUGUUUAAACGCAUGUGUAUCUUUAAGUUAUGAAACCACUGCAGAAACUCUUGAGUUCAUCUUUGCUCAGGGACGAGCAAAGGUUAAGCUUGGGGGAGCUUGUUGACGGUCCUUAAUGUUCACAAUUAACCAUCAAUUAAUCAUGGAAAAGGAUCCAAAUGCAACCAACACCUAGACUUAGGGUUUUAUCUGACAGAAUUCCAUGAGUUUUGGUGUUUGUCUAUUUCUGCAGGGGGUUAUCAGGAAAUAUGGAAGAAAGGCCCACACGUCGGGUUUACAUAGAGAUAUUAACGUGCCGCACAAUUAUCUACCAUCUAGAAGAGUCCAGAAGCCACGGGAGCGAACGGGAGACGUAACGGAGCCGGGCACUGGGCGCCCGCCCUACCUUACUGGGCGCCCGCCCUCCCCCCUGGACCAAUCAGGGUGAAGUUCGGGGAUCAUGCUCCACCGACCUAAUACUUCAAGGAAAACCACACGAUCAAUGUCGGUUUGAUCCGACGGCCCAGAUUCAUCUGAAAAGACUAUAUAAGCAAGGCCCCCUAGCCCCUGGAGAUCAUACCUCUUCUACAGAAUAAAAGCUAGGGUUUCAAUUCUUCAUCCA
rnacentral:lncRNA from 1 species